rnacentral:lncRNA from 1 species
CACCAACAAAAACGUCCCUCACUGAGUAGUCUAACCAUUGUGUACCCAGAAAAUUACGCACAACAAUUUAUCUCCAUUAAAAUCAAAGGCUACAAAAGAGCUACGUCAAAUCCAAGAGCCCACAGACAAAGUUUGAUGCGAGGCUUCUCACCCCCCUCGUCUCGCACCUGCGCCUGUUCCCUUCUCACUGAUCAACGGCCCAAGUUCGAGACCUGCUGCACGUCUUUUUCUUUUCUCCGAGAAAAAAAAAAAAGAAACAUCGUCAUCUCCCCACCACGUCUCGCAUGACUCCUUCCCAUCUGCCGGUGCCGCCUCGCCCCCGGCCCUAGGGCCAACUCCGCCCGCUUUGUCUUUGCCGCUGGUGGCGCCCUGCCGCCUGGCCGCCAGCCCUAGGCCACGUACACUCGUCGCCUGGCCGCACGUGCCUCCUCCAUGGCCGGCGUGAUCUUAGGACCAGGAGGCUACCCAAGUUCCCGUGCCUCUGUAGAGGUAGCCACCACAACAAGAGGAUGGGACGUUGCUGAAGGACGCCCAUUGCCUCCUCCAUCCCCAAGCGCUUCCUAGCAGUCCAACUCCUCGAAACCCUAGCCCAAAUCGUCUAAUUUCUUUGGCUGCCUCCAGUCCAUACAUCCUGGUAUGUUCUUUCUUUUUCUUUGUUGAUUUUGUUUUAUUUUAGAUCCAAAAAUAGGCGUGAUGUUCAUGGCAGAGCUCUGUAUCCAUCUAUUUGUUCUCAAACAUUUCGGCUUAAGAUAUAUAGCGACCAGAACAAUUGAUUUCACUUUUUAAUUAGACUGCCUAGGACAGUUGGACUUCAUUUUAGUUUCUCCAUUCUCUCACUCUCUUAACAUGUUUCAAACAGGACCAUUGGGGUUCACAUCAGUUACAGCUUCCAAGUUAAUUAUGACAUAACAUGAUUUCUGUUGGCCAAUGCUUCGCUUAAUGGCGUGUUUAUUUUCCUCUGUUUGUACUGCCUUAAUAUGAUUGCUGCUCUCAAAUGAUUUCAACUCACUUGUGGCAAUGCAAAUCUGACAGGCAUCUCUAAAUGAUGGUUCCCGAUACUGUCUUGCAGUUUUCAUAAAUUAGAGUUAACUGCUUGUGUAUACUUUUCUAUCUCAUACAAUCUUUUCAUAUUAUAUAGUUGUUAAAGCCUCCACGACACUUAUUUUUCUUUAAAAAAUUUUAGCACACUGUGGUAUGCACGAGAAGAUGAAAGCAUUGGCUGCCCUCGCAUGAUCUGAGACUAAAACAUAUUUUUUAGACUGACUGAGACUGCAUACGUCAGGGAUCAUACACUUAUUUUUGUUUUUGUUUUUUUUUUGCACAAUGUGGUAUUUGUCCUCUUCAUUUAAGAAAAUAUUGCAUUUUCAUAUAAAUUAAAGUGUCAUUUGAAAAUAGAAACUGAUCUUUCGUCAUGAUUUCUAUGUGUUCAGUUUGUUAAAGUUGCACUUAUUUCUAUUGUUUUUUAGAAGAAAACAACAACCAUCUACUUUCCAAUAGUCUAUAAAGAUAUUUUUCUGCUUCAUGUUAUUUAGCUCUCUUAUGUACCUCCUUAGCAUUUAAAUACUAAUUCUUUAGUCCUAGAUAUUGCAACAUUUUAGAUGCUAUAUACUGCUUUAUAAGUAAUUCUAGCAUGCAUGUAAUUGGCAUAUUCACUGAAUAUACCUUUCUGCGAAUUUCAGAAAAAUUGAAGUUCAGUUGAGUUGAGCCAAUUUUAACAAGUUCACAUCUUAUUUCUUGCAGAUGUACUAUGUAAACCUGGAGGUUACUGCUGAGGAUUAUCUUUAUGAUGACAAUUACAAGUUAGACAUCUCUGUGUCCAAUUUGAAUGUCCUUAAUAACCUUGCAGGGAUUGUUCAGCUGGAAUAUCCACAAUUCAAUACCGCACCGCAGCCUUUCACGCUCAAGCUUGCUCUUGCUCUUCGGCUACGAGCAUACAACAGGUAUGCCCACCCCUUCUCUUUCCCUUUUAGUUGGUAUUCGGAUCUGAUCUAAUUAUCUUGCCUACUGCCUAGGUGUAAUUAUUAGUUGGAAAACCUCAAGCGGCUACAAAGUCCUCACAGAUCUCACAGAAGAGCCUAGAUAUCCGAGUUGGGAAAUCCAAAACGGUGGAUGUUGAUAAACCACGGAUGAGCUCGGAUGACAUUAAGAAGUUCCAAAGGAGAAGAUGCUUGGUUUGGUGAUGCUGAUGCCUAUGUUCUGCACGACAUCAAGCUACACUUCAUAGUUGUCAAAGAUCUUGUUGUACUCUAUUUAUGUGAUAAAAUACCAUCGUAGUUUGGUUGUUUUCAUGUUGCCCCUCCGAUGAAGUCGUAGCGUUAGCACGGAUAUUAUACUAGUAAAUUAAGGAUGUGUUUGGGAGGGCUCUUCUAUAUAGGCUUCUCUCGAGGAGCCAAAGCCGUUUUGAUAAAUCUAUAAUUUGUGGCUCCUCCAAAACUAUUCUAGCUUCUCUUUUUUCUACCAAAAAGUGCUCAAACCGGCUCCUCCAUCUAGACUGUUUAGCACCAGCUCCACCCCGCUUGCUCUGACACUGGUGGGCCCUGAGCAUGGGCAUGGGCACAGGCACGCCACCGGUGGCAUGCGGGCGCAUGGAGGGCAUGCUCGGCGGUGCUCGGGUCGUAGGGCCACACGGAGGGGCGCAUGUGGAGGGCAUGCUCGCCGGUGCUCGGGUAGUCGGGUCACAUGGAGGGGUGGGGCGCGCAGGGGCGCGGGCAGAUCGCGGCUAGGCCACACGGAGGAGCGCACACAGGGGUAGGUCUUCGGAGCGCGAGUGGGUCGUCGGUGCUGGGUUUGCUAGAGCAUGGGUGCUCGCCGGAGCGCACGGAGGGGGUCGCUGGACACAUGGAGAGGCACACGCGAGUGGCCGGUGCUCAGAGUGCCCGUCUCGCGGGUGGACACGCCUCAAGUCGGAGGAGCCAUGAGCAAAGGGCGGGGUGAAUGAAUGACCGGAUAAGAAAGAAGACAUGUUGGGGAAAAACAAGGGUAUUAUUGUCAUUUUGCUCUUUUACCAAAGGAUCCACCAAAACAGCUUUACCUCUACAAUUAUUUUUAAGCUAAAGCUAAGAAAAGUUACUUCACUAAUGAAACUAAGGGCACCACCGAUGGAGGCUAACACACUUAAUGGUUGUAGUACAAAUAAAAUGAUCCACAUAAACAAGGAAAUGUUGAGACUACUGUUCAUGUAAUGCAAACUAUCACUACUUGUAGUUUGUAAAGGAACUUUUUCUUUCAUCAUGUAUCACAUUUAUUUCCUCUUCCUCUUAUUUUUUAACAUGGACCAUCUUCUCUCUCACCAAACAUACAUAGCUUUAGCUUCUACAAGCCACUAUAACAAGUAUAGAGCACCUACUUUUUUAUCCGAUUUUACAUAGCACUUGGGCUACUAGAGUACUAGGAAAAAGGUGACGUUGGGAAGGCCUAAGAUGUACCAAACAUGUUGUUACUUUGAUGACCUCAAUAGUAUUCUUGGUUAGAUUCGUCGUGUGAUCCAUGCAGCUGCAGUUUGCUAAUAUGCGACUGCCAAGACAUGGUGGUUUUAUUUAUAGGUAUACGUGCAGUGUCACAAAACUUUAUUUUUUGAAAUACAUUUCAGAAAAGGUACACUCUUAUUGCUGGUUCACCUAACAAACUAUACAUUUGUGCUCGACAUUGUCUAUAUAUGUUUUUUUCCCUGCAAGGUAUUUCCAUAUAAAUCUUGAUGUGCCCUCUUAAUUCGGUAUUUUCUUGUCAAUUAAGUCAUCAUCUUGCUUGCUAUUGCUACAUAUUGCCCUUAGAACAGCAUAGCCGAUAUAUACAUAUACAUAUACAUCGCUCUUAAACCAAAAAAAUAACCUUUGAAUUGAACUCGACAUAUACGAGGAUAUCAUGGUUGAUUGAGAGAUCCAUCUAUCUUAUUGUAAAAAAAAAACAUAUAUAAAAACAAUUAUAGUCCAUCUACUCCCAUUUGGCAACAAUACAAACAAAAGAAGAAGAAGCAUGAAGAUGCAUGUUGGACUACCUCAUUGCUCAAAUAAAGCAAAUAUAUUCAUAAGUGCACCAAUUUUCGUAACGGAAAAAAAAAUUAAUGACAGUAGAGUAUUCAGGGCGAAACCUAACAGAUUGACAGACAGAGAGAUGGGUGUGGGUGGGUGGCGGUGGUGUGGGAGGAGCUGAAAAGUGACGCACCAGUUGGUUCCGGCUGUCGUCGUCGCCGCUGCUGUCAAGGUCGCGGAGGCAGGCGGCCAAGCUGUCGAGCUCGUCCUUGAGCUCCUGGAUCUCGUGCCGCAGGCCGUCGCCUAGGUACAUGUGCCUAUCGGCGACCAUGUUGCCGAGCUUCCGCAGUAGGAUCGCUCCAGCGCCUAGGGUGGCGCUAACUACGGCCGCUUCCAUCGUCGCCCUCGAUCGACGACCUCGAUCGAUCGCCCGGCGGUCAGAUUGGUAUCCCGUUCCUUCCCGGCCGGCCGGACAGACGACGUCCGGCACAGCAGAGAGCAGACCACACAGGCUCUUUGGUCUGGAUGACUAAGAGCGAUAAUGAAGCUAAUGAUAAGUGAUGUACUGUACAUACUUUCUUAGAGCCAUAAUGAAGCUGCGACGAACCUGAGCCUUGUUUAGUUCUGAAAAAUGAAAAGUUUUCGGUAUUGUAGCACUUUCGUUUGUUUGUGAUAAAUAUUAUCCAAUUAUAGACUAACUAGUAUCAAAAGAUUCGUCUCGUGAUUUACAGCUAAACUGUAUAAUUAAUUUUUGUUUUCGUCUAUUUUAAUGUUUCAUGCAUGUGUCACAAGAUUCGAUGUGACGGAGAAGUUUGAAAACUUUUUGGUUUUUAGGGUGAACUAAACAAGGCCCCGCUGACUGCGUGCUGACUGCUGUGGUGCCCGGUGGCUGGUGCUGACUGCUGUGAUCCACUUUGCACGGAUCUAGGCCUUGUUUUUCUGAAAAUUUUUACAAAAUGUUACCGGACCACUUUUAUUUAUAUUUAACAAUUAUUAUCUAAUUAUAGACUACUAUGCUUAAAAGAUCUCUCUCACAAAUUUUAUAUAAACUAUAUAAUUAGUUAUCUUUUUAUUUAUAUCUGAUGCUCUAUACAUGUGCCACAAGAUUCAACGUGACGUAGAAUUUUGAACAUUUUGCAAAAUUUUUCGAGAAUAAACAAGGCAGUGACUGCGGACGGUGAAGUAUACUACCACGGUAAUUAUUUAAUAUACAGAUGCCAAAAAGAAAACUGGAUCCCAACAGGUAUUUUUGUUUCUCCUGUGACUUCGCACAGAUCUAGAGGCCGGGUGCACAUAUAAAUUAUAUAUUUAUAUAUUGUUUUGGAUCUUGAACUAAGGAGCAGUAGAAUAGUGACAAACUGCCGUCGUUUUUGUGUCGAGCAUACAUUGACCAACGUUUAUUAAGCAGUUAGCUGCCACAAUGCAUGCAGCGCUUGUUUAGGGAGUGCAACCGUACGGCAGGCGACGUCGCCGGCGAAGGUCCACAUGGAAGACGGAGAGAGGAGGGAGGUAAGCAGGCAGCGACGAACAAAUAAUUGUCUGGCGGCGAUUUCACGCAUCCUGAGUAAUUGUGAGGAGGAUGCUAGAUAAAGCCAUUUUCAAUAGCAAUUUGACCCGGAAAUAACGUUAAUCUUGGUGACACCAUAUAUGUGUUUGUGUGAACUAAACUUGAACGCUAUGUUGACUAUAUGAUCAGCAAGUUAUAGAUACACAACCUUACUAGGUAUACCCAGCAAUAGAGCCUGAUGCACUAGUCGACAUAGUGUGUCUGUCGGUCGUCCUGUUUGUUGUAGUGUAGAAUAGAAGCAGUACCGAUCAGUGGACACGAACGCCGACACCCAGAAGAAGAGAAUGUCGAUGUGAGUAGUCGUGUCGCCAGAAAUGUAGGAGGGUGACAGCAUAUGUCCUCAAGGACAGAAAAAGCUUUAUUGUGCCGCCAGUGACACUCCCCAAAAAUGUAAUUGGCGCCCUUCACCCGAGCAGGUGAACUCGAAGACGACAAGCGUUUCGGAGGUCUACCCUCCCAACUCUUGUGCGCGCAAGGAAUUAGGACAAGGAGAACCAAAGAGCAGCAGAUUUGUGGUAUUCUCAAAAGCGAAGUAGAAUGACAAACGGAGGAGCUUUGCAGAAUAUGCUUGCAGCCAGAGAGGCGAUGAGCGCUAGGGGUGAUCAGAAGAUGGGGCAGGCGUGCGGACACACAAAGACAAAGACGGCAGCAACAAGCGUAACUCUUGCAGUGAAUCCGCCACCAACCUAAAAAGGAAUGGCUCUUGUAAUUAUGUGGAUUGAGUGGCAAAAUAACUCCCGUCCCGUCCGUUCAUCCUGCCACGCCACCAACAUAAAAAAGCAACCACAUUUAGGUGGAACUGAGAUUGUAGGCUGUUAAGUAGAACAAGUAACAACAUGAAACAAAAAGUGUUCACCUUAUUAAAGAGAGGAUCGCCAAAUGGUAUUAGGGUGGGAGGCUAGUGUUAAGACUAGGGAUAGAUGGAUUUAUUGGUGAACCCAUAGAGAUUAAGCCUAUAUGAGGGUUUAUGGACAAGCCCAUAGGACACUCCUAAUGCAGAAACUAUCAUAAUUUCUAUGAACAUUAAUUGUAUUGCUACCUAAACAUUUUGCUGAUGUGGUAUGGUAGUUAUUGGAGAGAGAUAGCAAAAAUCAUAGAAACCGGGUCUAAGUUAGAAACCAUGUCUAUACAAGAACCAAGACAUGAAGUGAUGUGAUUGGUUGAGAAUGGAGAGAGAAUGAAUGUGAUUGGAUAAAAAAUUAUUCUGUAGAAACUAUCCAUUAGAACCAUGGUUUUCUAUAUGUAGUGUCUAUUAAAAUUAAUAGAUAUAGAAACUACAUAUAGUUUUUAGCAUUGAGAGUGUCCUUACAUCCUUGCUUAGGGAGGACUUUAUUGUUUAAAGGACAGUCGAGUUGACAAUGCCAAGGACAAAUUCACUAGUACCACUAAUACGUUGAGAAAGUUUUGUACAGAAAAGAGUGGAGGAGGUGGUUAGUGGCACGCUGCCAACGCUGAUAUUUGACAUGGCGGCAAUGAGCGUCUGGUAAAGGCUAAGCUGAAAGAGGAUGGUGGGAAUCGCCGAAUGGGGAUAUAUAUAAUCAGGUUGAUGAGGUGAAGACCUCGUGAGGAUGCAAGUUUAAGAAGUUUUGCCAAAUUUGUACAACUAAUUUACUUCCAUUGAUCACAAAUACAUCUUCGGCUAUAUUUAUCAUAAGUCAAGCUAUUUUCAUUUUAACUAAAACUUUGUAUAAACUAACAACACAAUAUUAACCUUACUAGAUUCACGACAUAUGAAGUACUUUGUUAGUCUAUAAUUUUUUGGUAAGAUAAUAUAUUUUGGAUAGAUGUAUCGCUUAUCAAAGUUUUUUUUUACUAAAACAAAUUUAGGCCAGCAAAACAAACUCGAAGGAGCCUUUUCCUCCUGCUUGGCCUGUGUAUAUAUAUAGGAGUGACCAUUCAACAAACCUAUUAUACUUUGUGACGUGUUAGACCUCGGUCUAGAUCAGCAUUAGCGAAGGUAGAAUUUUAAAGUUGGGUAUUCACAUACAAAAAGUUCAACGACUUAGAUCUAGUGAUUUGGAUUUGGGACAGAAAAACUGACGCUGGUCACAAACAAAGUGAUACACAUGGGCGUUGCGAUGGGCAUGCGUGUGUGUGAUGAGUUAAUAAGGAACAAGGGGCCAUCGACUGAUUCCAAUAGAGUUCCUGCCUGUGUAAUCAUGAAUAGCUAAAGGCAAAUGAGACUGUUUUAUUCACUACCACAUCUUACCAUAGGCCUUAUUUAGUUUCCAAAAAUUUCCAACAUUCUCCAUCACAUUGAAUCUUUGUACACAUGCAUGGAGUAUUAAAUAUAACGAAAAUAAAAACUAAUUGCACAGUUUGUCUGUAAUUUACGAGACGAAUCUUUUGAGUCUAGUUACUCUGUAAUUGAAUAAUAUUUAUCACAAACAAAUAAAAGUGCUACAACAGCAAAAAUCAAAAAAUUUCGUGAACUGAACAAGGCCAUAAUUUGUUAGACUUGGCAGCUGACCUGACAUUGUUUGUUUUUCUUAGAUUUCAGCCUCAUGUAUUCUAGACACUCGAGACUUCCUAAAAUUGCCUAAAGCUGUGGCGAGGAAUUUGUUCACCUAAAAUUUGAGAUUUGUCAAUGUAUCCUAACCAUCCAAACUCGCUAUAUGAGAGAUCUCAAGUUUAAAAAAAGCUGUAAUGCAUAUACGAGCUCGUGAGUCUGGGAAUCAACUGAAGCUAAAGACCUCGCCUGCUUUGUUUAGUUUUUCCUAAGUUUACUCACUAUCCAAUCGUAUGUUUUGAUAUAUACAUAAAGUAUAGACUAAAGAAAUUUAAUUACACAGAUUGUGACUAUUUUAUAAAAUGAUUCUUUUAAAUCUUUUUAGUUCAUAAUUUCACAAUAUGGUGUUACAGUAAAGCUACAGUAACAUAUACUAACUAGUAUAAUGUUCGUGCUAACGCUAUAGUUUUUAAUAAAGAAUACUUUUAAAAGAACCAAUUUGUUUCUACAGAGUUUGUCGUUUACACUAUUUUUUAUAUCUCUAGACAUAUUUACAUCCUCCCUACCUCCUUAACUAAAUAUUGGAUAUUGUUUGCACCACUCGCCAAAAUGUCAACCACAAAUUUCGUCCUUAGUGAUCUUGAUAGUUGUUCAUUGCAGAUGAUAUUAUGUCCUCUACAACACCACGAACCGGGCGACAUCCCUGCGCACCACCGGGUUGGCCUUGACACCGUCGUCCUUGCCACGGCGUCCACCGGACUCGUCGGCACCAGGCACUUACCCUCGGUGGCCAGUCGCUCUUGCACAUCACUCCUGCGCCAUGGCCGACAGUAUCUUCUCCUCCUUCAUCUGCAUCUGCAUGCAUGCACAGGGACUCAAUUUGGACAUCAUGAUCCCAAAAAAACAUAGGGACAGAUGCACAUUGAGAGUUUGUAAUGCAAUGCGUGCGCGCGGCGAUUGCCAGCCAAUUUUUAUGCACCUCGCUUGAGCCGGCGGCGCGCAUGAAGUCGAGCACGCCGACCUACGCUGCGAGAGCUUCACGUGGCAAGCGGCCUCCUCCAGCAUCUCGAAGGUUUUGAGCUUGUGCACCCCGGGGAUGAGCCGCGCCAAUUCAGCCGUCUUCUCGCUGAUCCGCUUACGGUGUUGCCUAGCUUGCCGCCAAUUUUCUACAUGGAUUGGCAUGCGUCGCCGUUGCCGGUCUUGUUGGUGUCCACGUCGUGCACGAACACGACCGGCUCCAGAACCUGCGUCGUCGGGACCGUGACCACGGGCGAGGGCGCGGGUGGCAGUGGCAGUUGCAAGACAUACUCGUUCAUCAGAGACUCCGCCAGCGCCGGCACCUGUCGGUUGCCACCGCCAAUGCGUUGCCUCUUGCUGGAGUGCCGAUCGGCCCCGGUGGCGUCGUCGAAUGGGGCGAGGAAGGCGGCGGCAGCGUCGCUGGGCGUGGGCAGGCUGAGAAGGUCAUCGAGCGUGGAAAGUAGAAAAAGGAGAAAAAAAAAAAUCGAUGGAUGCCGUACUCGAACCCGCGGCGGACGUUGUGAUCAUAAGGGCCGCACGAGCAUUGGCGUGGUGAGAGAGAGAGAGGGAAACCUCACCAAACUUUUAAUCUCAACUGUUGCAUCCGUAGAUCUUGAGGGAAAGAAUUGGCUUGGAGAAGUUUUCAAUUAUAGUAGAGAUGAUGGACUAAUUAGACUUCAUAAUUUUGCCUCGUGGAAUAUUGGCAAUUUUUGUAACUUAUUUUAUUAUUAUUAUCUAAACACUUGAUGUAAUACUCUCACGUAAUACCCGAUGUGCUAAAACUUUACUUCCUACUUUCUCCGCCCCACAAGUAAAUGUAUUUAUUUGACUCGUCUUAUUUAAAAUUUUUAUGCAAAUAAUAAAAUAAAUUUAUAAAAAUAUAUCUAACAAUAAAGUAAGUCAUGAAAAAAUAAAUAAUAUUUAUUAAAAUUUUUUGAAUACGACGAAUGGUCAAAUAUGAAUCAUAGAAGUCAAAAAGUGCAAUUAUUUAUAGGACAGAUGUAGUAUAUUUAAACAAGACAGCUUACACAAAUUCUGAGUAAAACCUCCCAUCCCCACAAGCUACUGUAUCUCGGAGUCGCAUGCCUUCUCUGCAGUUGCACGAGGGCGUUGCACCGGGCCCACUUGUCGGCACUCCGCUGCAGCCCCAGAUCCCCUUCCGUCUCUACGCUUUCGCACGCCGCCGUCAUCUGCCGGGGCCCACUUGCCAGUCACAAAUUCUGCCCCGCAGCUCGAUCUCGCGGUCGCGUCCUCCGCGUCUCCGGCGAGGCUGCGCGCGGGCGGCAUCACGCCUUGCACUCGCCCGCGACGAGCGAGCGAGAGAGGGGGGAGGGGGGAGGGGGCGGAGAUGGACGCGGAGCUCUUGGAGCUGCAGCGGCAGCUGGAGGCGGCGCAGAGCGCCAAGUCCAGCGUGCGCCUGUCGGAGCGGAACGUGGUGGAGCUGGUGCAGAAGCUGCAGGAGCGCGGCAUCAUCGACUUCGACCUCCUCCACACCGUCUCCGGCAAGGAGUACAUCACAUCCGUACGUCCCCCCUGCCCGUCCUCCAUCUCUCUAUUCGUCCCUUCCACUUUUGUUUCUGUGGCUGCUGCUUCCCCCAAUCCCGUCAAAACCAUCGCCCCUUCUUCUCUCAUUUGAUUCGAUUUACUGUGGCUGCGUAGCCUAGGGAUUGCAGCAGCUCCUAAGCGUAUUCUGUAUAUAGAAAUAAAUGGUGUGGAGUGUGAAUCAUAAACAAUGCAGAAACUGUUGUUGUCAGCGAUCUAAUCACUGUGGACUAGCCUGAACUUGAUUAACAUAUAUAGUUCAGUUUUUAUCAUAGUAGUUGCUGAACUAAGCCAACAUUUAGUAAGGGUUUUUAGGAUAUCGGGGUUAAUAACUCAAAAGGAUAUUGGGAUGGCAUUAUACAUUUUGGAAGCAGGGAAUUCUAUGAAACCGGUGAAACAUGUUUUUGAUUCGGGACUGGAUUCUGGUUUAGAAAUAUCUUAGAGGAACCUCUGGAUGGGUUUUUGGUAUUUAUAAUGAAGACUCGAUCUUUCUCUCAUGUUUUCACCAUCAAAGCAGACAUUAGAGAUACAUAGGCAGUUGCACAUUUUUAUGCCCCUAGCAAGGAUAAGAGUUAUUGGAUAAUUUCAUCUAGCAUUCCUAUGAUAUGGCAUAGCUCUUCCGUUGUUCAGUUCAGUUCCGAACACUUGCUCAGUUGAGAAUUCGUUGAUUUUUUAGCUGAUUCAUGGUAAACUAUGGUGUGGCAGGACCAUUUGAAGCAUGAAAUUAAGAUGGAGAUCAAGAAGAGAGGCCGUGCGUCUCUAGUUGACUUAUCAGAUACUCUAGGGGUGGAUCUUUACCAUGUUGAGAGGCAGUCACAGAAGGUCGUCUCGGAUGAUCCCACUCUAAUGCUGAUAAAUGGCGAGAUCAUGUCACAAUCUUACUGGGAUACAGUGACAGAAGAGAUAAACGAGAAGCUGCAGGAGCGCAGCCAGAUUGCCUUGGCAGAGAUUGCUGCCCAGCUUCAUAUUGGAUCAGAGCUUGUCAUCAGUAUCCUCGAGCCACGGCUUGGAACUAUUGUAUGCUUCUCAUGGCUUUUCUUGUAGUGGUAGUUCAUUUUCCUUUGCUCUGUAGUUUCAAUUCAGUAAUCUUGAUGCAACCUGCCAUUUCAAGCAUUAUGAAUUAGCUGAUUCAUAUGAAUCAGCUCUUAGAAGAACCAUAAAAUUGUUUUAAGAAGUAGUUUAUUCUUCCCAUAUCUGGUGCUUAGGAUCAGAAUAUAGUGUUCAGUUCCACAUCUUCUAACUUUAAAUGUUCAUGUUGCAAUACUUUAUUUUCAACUUUUUUACAUAUAUGACAUUCGCAAAAACUUUUAUAUAUGUCCUGCUGUCUUAUUGCCCUCCCAGGUGAAAGGAAGGCUAGAAGGUGGACAGCUAUACACUCCAGCAUACGUCUCACGAAUUACUGCUAUGGUCCGUGGUGCUGCAAGGGGUAUAACAGUGCCGACAAAUUUGCCAUCUGUUUGGAACUCCUUGCAGCAACAGCUUCAUGAGAUGCAUGGUGCUAGUGGAGUUUCUGUGGAAGGUUCAUUCUUCCAAUCCAUUUUCAAUGGUUUGCUAAAAGAUGGUGCUGUACUGGGAUCAGUCCGUGCAGGAGGACAGUGGACACCAGCUGUAAGAUCUGCAUUUGUUUAAUUGAUAUUCUUAAUUGUUGAACUGUGCUUAACAGUUUCGACUUUUUAUUCUCUGUUAGGUUUUUGCCCAUGCCCAAAAGGAGAGUGUUGAUGCUUUUUUCUCACAGGUUGAGAUAUUUGUAACCUACAUUUUUGUUCCUACAUUUCAGCAUAUGUUAGAAACAGACUAUCAGGGUAUUUUGGGCUAAUGGCAAAUCAGACUUCACAGAGCAAAAUAUGUAUGGAAUAUGGAUCUGGCUUGUAUGGUAUUUUCAUGCACGCGCACGCACACAUGCCCACCUGCCCACACAUUGCUAGUACUAUUCACAUCUUUGCAUCUACUCCUCAUUCCAAAUGGUAAGUGGAUCUGGCUUUUCUAGGUACAUAGUUUUACUAUGUAUCUAGACAUAAUGUAUAUCUAGGUGCGUAGCAAAAGCUAUGUUCCUAGAAAAACCAGAACAACUUACAAUUUGGAACAGAGGGAGUUGUAUUUAACACAAUCACCUUUAUUUGUAUCUCAUACUCUGCGUUGUUGUGAUGCAUUAUUUCCUUUUGUAUUGACUUGUUCAUUUUUUGUGUACAGAACUCUUACAUUGGGUAUGAUGUGCUUCAGAAACUUGCAAUUCCUCAACCUAAACAGUUCUUGGAGGUACUUGAGGCUACCAAUAUGCAUUUCCUGUUCCAGUCAUCUUUAUUUCUUAGAAUGUUUAUCUAAUUAUUUCCUAUAGGCCCGAUAUCCAGAUGGUAUUGCAUUGGAUGCUGUCUUUGUUCAUCCUUCUGUGGUUGAUAUGCUCGAUACUGCUGUCGGUGAUGCAAUUGAGAACGGACACUGGUAUUGUUAAAUUUCAUCUCUCAAUAGUUUAUUGUGAUUUUCCGCUUCUAUUUGCUAUGAGCUCCUAACUUGACAUGUAUUGAAAAAAAAUCCCAUCUAUUUCUCUUUGAUUCUCUCCCUAUGCAUGGCAUUGAACUAUGACAAACAGGUUGUGAUAUAGCAUCAUAGUAGAGGUGCAAAUGAUGUAAACUGAUCAAGUAAUAACAAGCUAUGUAAACAGAAUAGCUAGUAACUCUUUUUCACACUUUUCAGUAAUUAACAAAGUUAUGUUCAUUGUUCACUAAAACAGUUGGGACUUAAAAAGACAGUAUCAACAAUUUCGAGUACAUCAUUAUCUCUUUUUCAGCAUUUUCCUAGUUGACUGUAAUUACUCCGUUUUGCUGCCAUGACGACUACUUUUAUGGUGCCAUAAGAUAUUCUUUCUUCUUUCAGGAUUGAUUCUCUUUCAGUUCUUCCAUCAUAUAUUAGUGGCCCUGAUGCAACCAAAAUUUUGUCUAUCUGUCCAUCUCUGCAGAAGGCUAUCAAGGUGGUGCCUUUAAUUAGUUCAAGUUGUACAUUUUUCAUGAUGACCAACUCUUCUUUCUUUUGCAGUCUUCUAAAGCAGUGGUAUUUGGAGAGUCAUGUGUCUUUAGUAACAUGUUUAUUAAGGUGAGUCCUCACAGCUUCAUGACCUAGUGAUAACCUUUCUUUCAAUUGUCUACUCUUUGUAUUUUUACUAUUUUAUACCAUUACAGCUUAUGAAUUAAUUCAAUGUCCGUUGUUUUAUGAACAAUAUCAGAGCAUUUUUGACCGACUUGAGAAAGAUAUGGACUCGUUUGGUAUUAGACAUAGUGUUGGUCAAGGAAGGCCUUUGAAUGCGAAUCUGGGUAGUGAGCACAAGACAGGAUGUGGUCAGUACUCGGACACAAAAGAUCUCGGUGAUAAUGACACUAGCAGUACUGGUGUUUCAUCAGACAGAGGGUCAAAGAAGAAAAGGGGGAAAGGGACAGGGUCUACCAAAGGUGGAUCACUUGAAAAGGAUGAUGACAAUGAAGAAAGUAUUCCUAUUAAGGGAAAGAAAUCUCAUAGGAAAAACAAGGAUGCUGGUGCAUCAGGCGAUGUAAAACAUGGUGGUAAAAAAGCGUCAGAGAAAAUAAAAGAGGAGAGUACAAACAUCUUCCCUGAUGAAUUGAUAGAGCAAAAGGUUUUGGCUGCCGCUCCAGAGUUAGAAGAGUUGGGAGGUCAGGAAUUAGAUCAAUAUUUAGACAACAGUGUUUUUGAAGUGAUUCUAAAAGUUUUCUAAUUGUUUAAAUGAAUAUUAGGCUCUGAUGACUCGAAUGCCCCCCUUAAAUUGUUAUCUUCUCACCUGAGGCCAAUGCUUGUUGACUCAUGGACAAAGAAACGUAACACUAUGCUGUCUGGAAAUGCUGAAAGGAGGCGUCGCUUGCUUGAUAAUCUGCAGAAGCAGAUAGAUGAGGUAACCAGUUUAUCCCAUUUAUAUGUUGGUUUCUUUUUGUACUCUCCCUGCUUUUUUUUAGUUUCCGGGGUGGCUGUGUUCAAAUUGUUGAUCUAGAUAUGUACUGCCUCAUGGUUUUAUGCCAUUGCUGCUCUAGUCUAAUUUCCAAAUCGUUUUUCCACAUUUGUGCACCCUUUUGUGAUGGUAAAUCAUGUGACCCUUUUGAUGAUAUUGUCAUAUAUUCUUUAUCUGUUGUUCCUUGAGUGGAAUUCUUUUUCUAUUGUGAUCAGGCUGUCCUGGAUAUGCAACUUUAUGAGAAAGCUUUGGAUGUAUUUGAGGAUGAUCCUUCUACUUCUGUAAGCUGCCACAGGCACCAUUCUCACAAGAUUUCUUGCUUCUCAAAUUAGUUAUGAGCAUUUACUUAUGUUCCUUGUGGUUAUCUCUUUUUGUGGUUUGCAGGGUAUCCUACACAAGCAUCUGCUAAGAAGUAUGGGCACUCCAAUAGUUGACAAAGUUUUGAUUACAUUGGUAAUCUUUAUUACCCCUGCUCAUGCACACAUGUUUUUCAGCAAGUUUGAAAUUUAGGACUAGUUUCUUUUGCGUAGUAUGGUUUUCCUUCCACAGUUUAUACUACUAUAGCUGUUUUACUCUGGCUAUGGUGGUUGUUAAGGUGUUCUAUUGUUUUAUGAGCUUGAGAAGAGUUAUUUCACUGAACUGUCAAUAGGAUAAGGAUAGCAAAUUGAAGAAUGGAAUGGAGGUUGAGGAUAGCGAAGAUCAUGUCCAAUUGAGUACUGCUGACCGAAGCUCUCUGGUAUAAUUAACCUUUUUUGUUUUAUUCUGCCAUGUAUCAUGUGAUAAUUCCUUGCAUCAGUCCUGAAUGAGAACUUCAUUUGGUCUAACUUUAUGGACUUACCCUCCAUGUAAAUGCAAAAUAAUUCUUCAGGCCAAGGAUCUUCCUGGUGCAUUGUCAUUGAAGGCUCAAGCUUUAAUCGAAGCACUGGAGGGAAAGGUAUAACUUUGAACAUGAAGUAAAAUUUGGCAUAUUUAUUAAGUCCUGAAUUUUGUAUUUCUUUUACAUCUGUAAUAUUUACUGCAAUUUUGGUGAUGCACUAGAAAUUACAAGGUAGCACCUAUAAGUUGUGGUAUCUGGUAUGGAAAUGUGAAAAAUAUUCUUGAAGCAAUGAAAUUGUCUCUUCAGAAGUUCUUCACUUACGAUUCUGCAUUAUUAGGACGUUCUUCAGUGGUAGGAGGCCAAAGAAGGUCGUGGCCCUCCCUUAAGCUACAUUUUUCUUAAGAAUAUACUAGCAUUAUGUUUUACCUUCUACACGCUAGCUAGAUGCUAAAUUAGCCUUCUUGAUUUCGAACACAAUCAUGUUUGUGCCAAUUCACCCUCCCACGAACUACUAGCUCCACCACUGAGUAUGGUUCAGUGCCAUACUGUCAAGAUGCCAUAUUCUGAUUUUUGUUAUAUACACUAGCGAAUCUGUAGUUGCUUGUGCUGUGCCUAUAUCCUUUAAAAUGUCCUGCCAAGAUACCAGCUAUUCUAUUUUCUAAUGCCAGGUAGAAUGAAUACGAAAACGAUAUCCGGAAAAGGUAUGCAUACACAAAGAUAAGCAUUGAAUUUGUUCUUAGUAUAUCAUGUAAGAAAAAGUUGUCUAAUUCGAAACGUGGCUUUAGACAGUGGUUUAGAUUUUAUGAGAAGUUCAGCAUACCUAAAGAGUCAUAUGAUUACUUCAUCAGUUACACACAUUUUCUAGCAUGUGAUUGUAGUUAUUGUUGUCUAACAGUAAUGACAAAUUGCUGUCUGAAUAUAUAAUGAAGCUGUUUAGCAUCCAAUAAUGACCCAGAAUUUGUUCCUUUCUAACCUUUAUGAAUAAUAUGUGGCAGAGAUUUGAUUCAUUUAUGGAUGCCUUAAGAGAUGUACUGGAGGAAAGGUAAUAUGUAAUGUUUGUAACUGUAACAUGCAUUUUUCAUAGUCAUCGAUGUGCUUACUCAUUUUUUUUUGGAAGCAGUGGCUUGACAUUUAAGAAGCUUGAUAAAAGAUUAGAGAGAACAAUGCUGCAUUCCUAUCGCAAGGUAUGUUUUUUGCUUUCUGGACUGCACAACAGGGUUCAGAGAACUGGCUUGAACCAGUUGGUUCCUUGUAAACCAGUCCCUGAACAGGUUUCCAAAUUUUAGCCAGAUCAUGCCCUAAACCACAUCCAUCCUAUUUGAUCUGCUAAUUCAUUAGGUAUGUGUAUGCCCCAGAAUCAAAUUAUGAAUUGGAAAUUUAGCAAACUCUAGGAAAGCUGGAACCUUUCUUGUAGGGUUUUCGAAACUGAUGUACUGUAGUUUUUUUCUUUGUUCACCUGUUUGUUUGAAUUUUCUGUAUCUGGCUUAAUAAUGAUUUGCUAAUAUUUAUGUAUUAGUUAUAUGGUGGUAUUAGUGUCUCCAUCACUCCAUGAGCAUAGUGCAAGCACAAGUACCAUAAGUCCAUAACACAAAAUAUCUGAUCAUAUUACAGAGAUCGAUAGAUUGAUAUGGUGAUGUUUAGAGUUUAAACUGCUGAGAUAUUGGGUGUGGAAAAAGACUAUUCCAAUAUAGUAUACAGUGUACUGAACAAAGAAUAUGAUAUUUGCCUGGCAUGUUAAUUGCUUUUAUGCGUAAAGUUAUCUAUUGAUAAUAUUUGACACUUUAAUAUAUGCAAUGAAGGACUUGACAGCCCAAGUUUCAUCAGAGAACGAUCCUGUUUCCUUUCUUCCAAAAGUCGUUGCUUUACUUUUUCUGCAGGUUAGUUUGAUUAUAUAUUUUCUCCUUUUUAUUUCUCAAUCAAAUCGUCGUUCUAUAUUCUCAUAUUGAUCUCAUUUGCAACCUUUUUAAAUAUUUUGUAGGCAUAUAAUAAGGCUCUUCAGGCACCAGGAAGGGCUGUUGGUGCUGUUAUCACACUGCUGAAGGUACAAGUACUCUCACUUCAAUUUCUUGUUACUUGUUAGACAUUCUUCUGUAGUUCUGGCAGAACAUCAUCUUCUGUAGCAAUAGUCAUUAAAGAUGGCAGAUUGAUGAUCUAUUUGCUUGACUCACUGAGCUGCAUAUUUUUCAUUUGACUUCCAAAAGAUUUUUUUUUGUCCCACAUCUCAUAAUGAUAAACUCCCUCCCCUCCCCCCCCUCUGGGAAGAGCAGCUUGUACAAUGUGUUGUGUGUUAUGUACUCAGCUUAACUUUGUUUAUUCAUCAACAAAUAAGGAAAAAAAUCCCGUUUUGAAAUUGGCUAGCCAGCUAUUGGUCACUUCCUUGCUGCCUAUAGCUGUUUGGGUGCUUCUCUGGGUAGUGCUCGUCUGUUUUUCAUAGUGUGUGGCGCUAAGAGUCUUGUAAUUGGUUACUUGGGGAAGCAGGCUCUGCCUCUCCUCCGUUGUUUUUUCUCUCUUAAUGAAAUGACAUGCAGCUCUCCUGCAUCAUUUGAGAAAAAAAUGGUCACUUCCUUUGUUUGCAUGAGUGCACAGAGAGGAAGAGUCACUUCUCACAGUAGAAAGGGCCUUUCAUAAGACCAUCAUGUAUUUCUUUGCACAGUGCAUAAAUGAGGAUUAAAUACUAGGACUCAUGAACAUGCAUUCCCUCUCUGUUUGCUAGAAACUGCCUGGUUUUUAAAAAAAAAGUCUUAAUAGCUUAUCAAUUAUAUUUUAAAAGUUUGGAAAUCAUCUCCAUGUGCAUAUAAAUCCAUUGAAAUAGGUUGGAGAAUCUACCCCUUCCCAGUUCAUAUUUGCGCAUCAGUUGGUUAAGUUUUUUUUAAUAGAAAUCUGGAUGUUUGAACUUACAUGAUGCUAUAUUUCUCAUAUUCAGAUUAAAUUUUCAUGAAAGCUAAAUCUGUCUGAUUGUACUACUCUUCCGCCAUUUUGCAGGAUAAGCUGCCAGCUUCAACUUACAAGGUAUUGGCUGAUUAUCACAGCACUACAGUGAAACUUCUAGCACUACAAGCUGCUGCUACUGAUGAUGUAAGUCCACUUUACACGACUGCAAAUUAUAUAUUCAUGCUUUUGCAUUGGAGUAGUAUUGAUAUUUUUUGCAAUAGGUAUUUGAUGCUGGCUUGAAAUAUGUAGUGCAUAAUGCUGAAACUUUAGAGAUCCUUAGAUCAAAUCUUUUUGAAAACCAUGCUUUAGCUGGUAAUAUAUUCAUUGGCUUAGAUUCUGCAAUUAUGAGGCCACAUACGCUUAAGCAUCACAACUUGCACAUAAACAAAUGCAUCCUCUAGCAAUUUAGCACAGCCAUAUAUUUUUACAGACUGACAACUAUUUGUGAUUCUGCAUGUUUAGGCCUUGUUUAGUUUGUAAAAUUUUUGGGUUUUGGCUACUGUAGCACUUUCGUUUUUAUUUGACAAACAUUGUCCAAUCAUGGAGUAACUAGGCUUAAAAGAUUCAUCUCACAAAUUACAGGUAAACUGUGUAAUUAGUUUUUAUUUUCGUCUAUAUUUAAUGCUUCAUGUAUGCAACCAAAGAUUCGAUGUGAUGAGGAAUCUUGAAAAUUUUUGCGAACCAUAUAUUUGCAUCAUAUGCAUGAGCAUGGUGUUUGAACAAUUAUCAAUCUUCUAGGACGGGAACAAAGUUGAACCAUGAAACUUGUACUGUCUUUGUCCUGUAGGAAGAAGAUUGCACAUCAGACCGAACGCGGGAAAGGAAGGAAGAUCUGGAAGAAAGGCUGAUGCCAGAACUGAAAUCCCUGGUCCUCGGCACAAACAAAGAGUGAUCAGCAACAUCAUGUGCAUACUGAGCCAUCUCGGCGUACAUACACAUAGCUACCAUUAGCUGAAAACCCUAAUUUUCCUCUCUAUUUUGGCGCUCGUCUCUUGCAAUUUGCACCAUUUUAAAGCAAAAGAUAGCAGGGAAAAUAGGUUUUAUACUGAUUAUAAGAAUCCUACUAGUUUAUAGUACCGUUCGCAAUCCUACACACUGCAGGGUUUCUAGUGACAACAGAAUUAUCCUAUGGUGUAUAAUGUAUAACAUAGUGUAUGUUGAUACCAAAUUUAGUCGGCAGAUGAGAUCACUAAUUUUCCCACUUGAGUUCAGACACGUUGGAGGCCAUGCGAGAAAAGCUUGAUAAGAGAACCACUCUACAGAAGUCCGUCGUUGUUUCUGGCUCAGUCUGAUUCCGAUAUCCGUAGGCUGAGCAAUUUUUUUUAUUUCGAGGAAAUUUAUGAGUAAAUUUUGCUGCACCCAAACACACAAUGCCAUAUCUGCACGCUCCCAUGAAGUCCGUAUAAUUGGAAAACAAACAGCUCGCAUUCACAUCACAUUGGUAUCACUUUGCCAUAAAACGACUCAUGCAUAUUAAUUUGUGUUGAACUUUGACAACCGAUUGCUGCUGGUGUUACUUCAGUGAGUGUUCACGAAGCAUGAAUAGUUAGCACAAUAAAAAAAAAGACAUACUCCCUCCAUCCAAAUUAUAAGGUAUUCCAAGAAUCUUGAAGAGUCAAAGUAUUUUAAAUUUGACCAAAUUUAUAUAAUAAGAUAAUCAUAUUUAUGAUAUUACCUAAGUAUGGUUCUUAAUUAAUUAUAUUUUCAUAGUAUCUAUUUAAUGUUAUAAAUCUUUAUAAUUCUUUCUAUAAUUUUGGUCAAACUUAUGUUUUGACUCUCUAAGAUUCUUAGAAUAUCUUGUAAUUUGGAAUGAAUGGAGUACUAAUUACCAUAUAGGAUCUUAUUUUGAUGCACAUAACUAAUAACUCCAACCAUAAAAACUUCCAAGGCUGUUUAAAUGCUAAAAAUCUGUGCUGUGAAUGAAAACAGGGCAGGGCGGAUACAACUGUUUCUCAAAAUUUCUUGAAAAACAUCUAGUAUAUAUACCUUUUAAUAAUAUGUACAUGUAUAAUAUAUUGUUAUAUACUUCCUGCAUACCCAUAUAAGAAGUCGUUUAGGACAAUGACACAUUCUUCAAAGCCUAACUUUGACUUAUUGUUUUAUAAAAAUAUUUACCAAAAAGUGGUAUAUAUAUACUUUUAUGAAAGUAUUUUUCAAAACAAAUCUAUUCAUAUGGUUUUUACAUUUCCAAAUUCAACAACUUAAGUUAUUCAUAAUUUAUAUUCGCAAUGUUUGACCCAAACCUUGUCCAAAACGACUUUUUUUAUGGAUACAGAGGGAGUACAAUGCUAGUAUGUUCAGUCCAUACAACAGCCUCAACACUCUACAUUCAUAAUUAUUUUAUCAUCGUUUAGUGAUAUAAUUAUGUUAUGUCUAUGUUGAUGAACUACAUUGUUUUCGUCCGUGGCCCCAUGAUUGAAAUCCUAGAUCCGCCACUGAAACAAACAUGGGCUAAUGUUUUAGAGUGUCUAACUUUGAUGCUAAAAGUCAGACGAUCCGAAUCUCACAAGUCACGACGACCGAGUGCUUGCUUGCUUCUCCAAUUCCCAGAGACGCUGAACGUCGGCACCUCCCAACUCCCGUCCACCUCGUGUGGUAUGUGGAGUCGUUGAUUUUGCAGGUGGUGUUGGUGUGCCGUGUGCGGCGAGACCCGUGGGUGAGGAUUUGUAGUUUUCAUCCUUAGGCCUUGUUUAGAUGCACCCAAAAACCCAAAACUUUACAAGAUUUCCCAUCACAUCGAAUCUUGCGGCACAUGCAUGAAGCAUUAAAUAUAGAUAAAAAUUAUAACUAAUUGCACAGUUUACCUGUAAAUCACGAAACGAAUCUUUUAAGCCUAGUUACUCUAUGAUUGGACAAUGUUUGUCAAAUAAAAACGAAAGUGCUAUAGUGUCAAAAUCCAAAAACUUUUUGCAUCUAAACCAAGGCCUUAAUUGUGCCGUUUCCAGCGGGCAAACAGACUCGUGCUUGAGAAGCUGAAAGUCAACAGAAGAAUUCCCCAAACUCCAGGUUGCCAUAGCUUUUGAGAUAGUUACUCCUGAGCACCUACUAUCCUCACAUCCUCCUCCCCUAACCUAUGGCAGGCAUGGUGGUGAGUGCUGCCACUGGGGCACUGAGCUCACUCCUCUCCAAGCUAUCGGACCUGCUCACUGACCAGUACAAGCAAGGCAAGGGACUCCGAAGGGACAUCGACUUCCUCCGCCGUGAGCUGACAGACAUGAACGCGGCAUUAGAGAAGCUAGCAGACAUGGAGAAGCUUGAUGCCCAAACAAAGGUGUGGAGAGACAAAGUUCGCGAGAUGGCCUAUGAUGUCGAGGACUCCAUCGACAUCUUCAUGCUCAAGCUUGGCCAAGGAGACGACGACGACGACAACUUGUUUCGCAGGAUUGUAGGCAAGGUUAGGGAGCUACGCCUGCACUACCAGUUUGCUGACAAGAUUCAGGAGCUCAGAGCUCGUGUUGUGGAGCAGAGUCAAAGCCGAGAGAGAUACAGGAUUGAUGAUGGAUCCAUCUCAGAGUCUAGAGUGGUGGUGGAAGUUGAUCCAAGGCUGCCUGCACUGUUUGAGGAUGCAAAGAGGCUUGUGGGCAUUGAUGGUCCACGAGAGGAAAUCAUAAAAAGGUUGAUGGGAGAAGAUGACGGCUAUCAUUGUUCUCGACAGGGACGAAGCCAGAAAAAAAUUUAGGGGGGGCUGAACAAAAAUUCUACAUCGACUUAGCUCUACUAUUAUCCCUCGUAAUAAAAAAAAUAUGUUAGUUUAAAGUAGUCUUAGAUUAAAAAUAUAGACCAAUAAUAAAAUUCACAAAAUAUAUUUAAAAAAUAAAGUUCUCAGCCCACCCUACUUUAUAAAUUUAUGUCUAAAAUUAGAAGAAAAACACUAGAAAUUUCACUAGGCCAGCAGCGGUAGCCCCUAGCCCCACCGCUGGCUACGUGCAGUGCUAUCCAUCGUUGGUUUUGGUGGCCUCGGCAAGACAACUCUUGCAAACCAAGUGUACUCUAAAAUCAAGGAUGAGUUUGCAUGCGCAGCGUUCGUGACAGUCUCUAGAACUCCUCACAUUCCAAAGUUUCUCAAGGACAUACUGUCCGGAGUUGGAUAUCGUGACACGGAAGUGGAAGAUGAUGUCCAAAAGCUUAUUGAGAUACUUAGAGCAACGCUCAACGAUAAGAGGUAUGUGUUCAUCUGGAGUUUAUGGUAAUAUAUUUUUCUGUAAACUUUUUUAGUGUUCUGUUUCUAGUUGUCUGUCUCAAAUAUUUACAGUUUUUCCCAUUGUCAUCUAAUAGACUAAUAGCAGCAACACGUAAUUGCAGGUACUUCAUCAUAAUUGAUGACUUAUGGAGCAUCAAGGAUUGGCGCACUAUUGAGUGCGCUUUUGUGGAAAAUAAUAAUGCCAGCAGAGUGAUAACUACCACACGUAUUCAAGACAGUGGUAUAGCAUGUUGCUUUCCUAGUCAAGGCCAUGUAUACCAGAUGCAACCUCUUAAUGAGAUUCACUCAAGAAGGUUGUUUUUCAAAAGGGUAUUUGGUACAGAAGAUAGUUGUCCUGAGCAAUUCAUAGAGAUUUCACAUGGCAUGUUAAGGAAAUGUAAAGGGGUACCAUUGGCAAUUACUAGUAUUGCUAGCCUUUUGGCUAACCACAUGCAUGUUGAGAUAUGGGAGAAGAUACAUAAUUCAUUGGGUUCCGAGUUGUACACAAAUCCUACACUAGAAUGGAUGAGGCAUGUGUUAAGUCUUAGCUAUAAUAAUGACCUGUCACAUGAGCUCAAGACAUGCUUGUUGUAUCUUGGUACAUAUCCUGAAGAUCAUCAAAUUCACAAGUAUGAAUUGAUAAGAAAAUGGAUGGCUGAAGGAUUUGUUAGGGAAAAGCAUGGUCUAGAUCUGGAGGAAGCUGCCUUGAGCUGUUUCAAUGAACUCAUCAACAGAAGUAUGAUCCAACCUUGCUUCAGUGAAUAUGAUUUUGGUGAGGUGUUGACAUGUCAGGUUCACGACCUAAUGCUUGAGCUUAUUAUAUCAAAGUGCAAAGAGGAAAAGUUGAUCACUAUAAUCAAUAGGAAGUUCCCCAUGAAUGGAGCAUCGCAGAUUCGCCGGAUCAGCCACCAGUUCCAAAACAGAGACAUGGCCCUCACGGUCGAGAGUGCAUCACAAGUUCGGACAUAUAUUUGCUUGCGUCUGGCUGAUUGUAUGCCUCCAUUUUCGAAAUUUGAGCUUUUGAGAGUAUUGGACAUGGAGCGUAGCUUUUCUAUGCACUUUGUGUGCCUUGAUGUGUCUGCUAUAAAUCACCUCUUUCUGCUGAGGUAUCUGAGGGUCUGGGGCUUUCGCAUCAAGCUGCCAAAGAAAUUUGGCAAGCUAAAGCAUUUGAUGACCCUAAAUAUGUCCCAGCCAUGGUUGGAUAAUCCUAGUGAACAAAUAUCAGAUUUUAGUUCCUUGUCAUCUCUAAGGCAUCUCAGUUUACCAGGAUGUGUAAUUAUCAAAAAUGGGCUUAGCAAGUUGCGCAACCUACGUGAUCUGUUCUGGUUUGACUUUGGUUCUAAUUCCACAGAUUGCAUCAGAGAUCUCAGUGAGUUGACCAAUCUUAGAAAUCUUCAGGUGAUGAUGUACAAUUACUCAAAGCCAGAUGGAGUAGAAAAUAACUGUAAGACAACAAUCUUGGCAGCUUCUCUUAACAAGCUUGGGAACAGCAACCUCCGCAACCUGGCUUUUGAGGUUGUGUCAAGUGCCAGGGCUCCAUCAGCACAAUUCUGGAGUAACUGCUUAGCACAACCACGGCAUCUGCAGAGGUUUAGCUUGUACGGCGUAACAAUGCCCAAGGUCCCAAAUUGGAUUGGGCAUGCAGACAGGUUGGCGCAUGUUGAACUAGAGGUCCAGGAGCUCCCAAGUGAUGAUGUUCAGGUUCUUGCACAGUUGCCCUGCCUCAUCUACCUCCAGUUAAGAGCUAAAACAAUCCCAGAGAACAACAUCAUCAUCCACCCCCAAACAUUCCACAGCCUCAAGUGCUUCAAAUUCUUUUGUGGUGAGCUGCCAAGCUUGACCUUUUGUGGUGAGCUGCCAAGCUUGACUUUUGAGCCAGCCGCAAUGCCGCAGCUACAGAGACUGGAGAUACUACUUGCUCUGGGACAAGGUGCAAUGGAACUGCAAGAACGCAGUCUAGUUGGUGGCAUCGAGCACCUUGCUAGCCUCGAAAAGAUCUUCUUGUAUAUAUGUGUCAAAUGCGGUCAGGGGUCCAAAAUAGAAUCUGCAUGGAGAGCCGCCAUCAGCAGGCACCCGAAAAGUGAAGCCCUACAGAUUUAUGUGAACUGUGCAGAGUAUGACGAAAAUGGAAAAUUGGUAUGAAUAAACAGAGAUACUGUUGCAGGGAUUAUUGGAAACAAGGAGAAGAGCCGAGAAGAGCCGGACCUACAAAUAUAAAUCCUGGCUUCUGACGACGCUUGGGCACCGGGAUGGCGGGAUCUGGGGCCGGGUCACACGCAACCUGGGCACUAGGCAGUAGUGGGCAUCGGCCAGCAGGGCAGCGGCAACGGACGACGAGGUCGCGGACACCGUCGAGCAUGGCCGCGCUUGCAACAGGGGAGUUCGGGAUGCGGCGCCGGGACCAGGAGACGGCGAGAGCAACCGACGCCGCCUCGGGUGGGAGAGUCAUGCGGGGGCUUGCUGGGCCUUUUCGAGAGCAUGUUACUGGUUUCCUUACAAAUUUUAGCCAGUUAAAAUUAUUUUAGAUAUUCUAGGGUGAGUAGCGGAACUAAACUGUUUUAGUCAGUGUAUUUCGAAGUUUAGUAAGGCUAAUUUCAAUAAUGAGUUUCACCUUCAAAUUUCCAACACACGAAACAUUGAUAUAAAACGAGGUUCUCUCACAGUGUAAAAUUUCAUUACACGGUUUAAUAGCUUAUUUUACUAUUUUUUUCUCUCAUCUCUAUCUUUCCUCUUACUAUAUUUUCUCUUAUGCAUCUCUUCUACCAUGAAGCUGAGUGACACCCAUGAAACGUUUGAGCUCCUCAACGCGGGUUUCAUUCUCGUUUUGUGGUGUUGGAAACACCACCCAGUCGUUUCAUGGCCAUGAAAUGAAUUCUUUCUCUGUCCUCCUCGUUUCACACAGAUUACUAAUGUGACACUCACUUAAAUAUGCAUGAAAUCCCCCAUAAAAUCCCAUUGAAACUGGCCCUUAGGUCACUAAAAUUUAAAUAUCUGGGAGGAGAUAUGGAUUUUGAGACUAUUUGCCAAGACUUUUCCAAUCAACUUGUACCGAGUCCAACACAUUAUACACAAGCUUUUAUAUAGGCUAGGCUAGAGAUCUUUCAUUUUCUCAGGGGUUCCUUGCGGCCGUUGGAUCGGCCCUGUGUGGCCAAGAUCAGCACGGACGACUUGUACCAACUGAACCCCUGACUGGACCGCCGGCCGCGCGCCGUGUGGUGGCCGUUCCCGUUCCGUUUCGUCUCCCCAGGAGCGAGCCGAAGCUUCUGGAACGUUCCGUCCGGGGCGAGAUGGUCGUGCUGCACGUGAAGUCGGCGGUUCCCGCCUCCCCGUCGCAGGACGGGGACGAGGAGACGGAGUUCCUGUACGAGUGCGCCGCCUCCGCGGCCGUGGCGGACGUCGCGGCCGCCCUCGCCGCGCUCGCGGGCCUCCAGGCCGCCCUCCUCUCCCUCUGCCGCCGCAUCCAAGGUGAGAGAACUUCACCCAGAGACCCGUCCGUCGUUUUAGUCUUACCUCCCGUCGUGGGGGGAUGCUGAUCGAGUCGUACUCGUACUGACACGAGAGGCGUGGCCGGUUCUGCGAUCCGCAGCGAGGUGCGCGGGUGCUGGUGCUGGUGCUGGUGCGACGGGCGAGCUCGAGAGGGCGCUGGACGAGGCCGAGGCCUACGCUUCCAAGGUCAGCAUUGUUUUGUUUCCCCCACUCCCUCGCUGUUUUCUCGCACGCUUGAGUUUGAAUUAGAUGCGAAUUGCGCUUGGUUUAUCAUUAUGAACCUCUUUCUGCUUGUGUACGUGUCAGGUUGUUCAUCAGUAAUACAUUCUAUGAUUUAAUACACUGGCACUGAGAGUCAUUCUCGAUCGACCUGGUUUACUGAAGUCUGCUAAUUUUACAUAUUGGAGUAGCACGCACACGCGUUCACUGGUUGAGUUCUACCAUGCUUGAGAACUGUGACCACUGUCAUAUUAUUGUGCUUGCAAAAAUUGAAAACUGAAUUAGAUGAUCUCUAUUUUAGAUUGGGAAAAGGAAGCAGAAGUAACAUUUUGUUCUGUUCAUCAUCGACUACAGUCAACACUACUCUGCUGUACGACUAGCUGUAACUUGUUCACAGGACAUAUGUCAAUCUGAUUUUAGCAAAUGUACUGAAGUUUCAGGGCCUAUCCACUUAAGGAGAUUUUGACAGGAUUCUGAAUUUUCUUACAGGAGCAAGUGCAGCGUAACAGAUUCCUGUCCCCUCGUGCUCUAAGGGAACAUAUCAAGAACAUUGAGAAGAAAUGUGCUACUGCUCUACACGAACCUCUGGAGGCAUUGCCUCUGCAAGGGUCAUCAUCAGGUAGCACAAGCACAGGAUAGAUAGGUUCAAUUUUCAGAAGAUAAAUAAACAAAAUGAGCAUGCAUAUGCAAUAGUCCAGGAGUGAAGUUCAAUUUAUCACUACACAGGCUGCACUUUUCUUUUCUAGUUUUGUCGUGCCUGUAUUUCAGUCUUUCAUGAAGUGCAUAAACCUUGAUAUCGACUGUUUCCAGCUUCCAAGUUGAAAAAUAAAAGGAUUGUUUGACAUGGAAUGGCCUUUGCUUACAAUCAAUUCUUUCUUGUAUGCGAUUCCCAGACAACAAGCAUGAGAGAAAACAGAUUUGGUGGGCUGGGAAAGAGCUAGCCAUGGACCAGAAGCUAUCCGACUAUAUCGGUGUUAAUGAUAAAACCAAGGUAACAACAUUGCAUCCACAGUGCAAGAAUGAUUGCUUCAUCUAUUUAUUGUCUUUUUUUAUUUUUUUCGUAAUCUAUGCAGAUUGUCGUCAGGCUAACUCAAGCUCGUGAUGAGCGUUGAUUGUGCUCCUACCUCUUCAUUGAUAUCGUAGAGUUAGCUUCCUCUUGGAUUGUAAUAGGAUAUGGAAACUGUCCCUCAGUCCCUGUAAGACAUUUUUAAUUCCCUUGAGCCACAUUCUUUUCACCUGUAUUAACUGACAAUAGGUGUAAGUGUUUGACUUCUUAUACCAAUUGCUUGUACAAUAUAUCCUCACAGAGGUUUACUUCCUUUUGGGUGUUAUGUGCCAGUUAUCCCCAUUUAAUAAGAUGGUAUAAAUUUUACAUGAGCUAUCAUCCUUUUGAUCUGUAGCACUGCCAAGUGUACCAACUGACAACCUCUAUGAACACCAGAAUACUUAUAGAGGUUCUUACCAUCACUUCAGUUCCAGUGUUCCACAACUUAAAGGUGCCACCUAAUAGAAAUAUAUAGAAUUUGGUAAAUAAGAAAAUGGUGCAUGUCGUGCCCUUUAAAUUGCUGUCUUUUGAUAGUAUGUGCCACUUGUCUUUCUUUAUGAUUUUUAUAAUUUGACGAGCUAGCAUCCUCUUCGUCUGUUUGAUUGCAUCUCUGCUUAUUACAAAUUGACAGCCUGUAAAAAUACCUUAAAACUUAAGGAGUUCCUUAUGAUAACAAUAGCUGUUUGCCUGUUUGACAUAGAGAUGCUUUCUAAUACUAUAUGAAAUUUAAUGAACAAAAUUGGUGCAUACAUUUAUUUGUUAAAUAGCUUUACUUUGGUGAUGUGAUGUUUAAUUUGAUAGAUGGAAUACUAUGUUUGACAGCCCCUAAUUACUCGGGCUUACGUCCUUGCACAAACUUAGAGGUGCAUACGUAAUGAAUAUCAAUGGCUAGAUACAAUCAUGCAAAUCACUUUGAAGCGGCUGUUCCCUUUCGAGGGAGAUGAUGCAGAAUUUGACAGCAGGAGUGGACCUGCAGACAUAAGUCUCAUCCUGUCAAGAGCAGUUAGUACAGAAUUUAAGUACUGGAGAAAUAUAAAGUUUGAAGAAAAUAUUAAUGUCAGAAGAGAACCACCUAUUGGGCUUAACCUGUGUUCACACUUAAGCUCAGAGUAGUGAUCAAUCUAAUCGCUCUAGGAAAUUAGGAGGGAACAUUGUUAAGAACAUUGGUCUCCCGUUCACAUUAUAUACCAGUUAGGCUGUAGAUUGGACUAUUGGAGUCAGUGAAAGCUUGACUUCGGAGUUUGUUUUCUGUAUGGAGAACUGGAACCUGAUAAUACAUUAUCAUCAACAGCUUGUUGUAUAGUAUUUGUAGGUUUGUAACUGUAAAGGAGACACCGGAAGAUCAUCCAAUCUCUUAUUGUAUUAUAUGUCCCAUCAAAUUAGCUAAUAAAAUAAUGCUCCUUAUGUUUAUUAUUAAAAGAAUGUAGCCAGCUUAUUCUGCAAUAUAGUUUGGUAUACAUGAUGGUAUCUUUCUUUCUUCUUUUUUCUUUUUUUUCAAACUAGAGAGUCGUGCUGAGAAAAAUGGUCCAACAUGCCUGGGCCCCUUUUGUGCUUGUUCUAGGCUCUAGCUCAACUUUGGCUGUUGUAUUUAGUUCUCUACCAAGGCUUGCUUGUCCUGUUAUGCAUGUCUCCUAAUUCCCCAUGAACAAACACACACUGAAGAGCAAAAGGUGUGCUAAAUGCUACCCUCAUUUGGGUUUCUGGUUUCCUAUGUCAGUAGAUUGAUUCAGUAGAUGACUUUACCCCACUACAGUCAGGUUGCAGACAGAUACAGAUGAUUCUUUACUUGUACUGUAUUUCUCUUUGAACACUAGACAAAUUCAACACAAUUUUAUUGUUUCCAAAGAGAAAUCCUUGAUUCUAAAAACAGUCCAGAUUUGUUAUUUGUAGCAUGGAUCCCAGAUUCUUUCAUGAUGGGUAUUUUGAGGACUAUUUCUGGAUGUGCCAGCUUGAAAAUUCAUAGUUUCGAGUUCCCUCAACCAUCCAGCUCCACAAUGUGAAAACCUGCACGUGACUAGCCUAGCCUGAAAGGAAUUGUUGGUGCUUUGGCUGAAGAACCGGCAAAUGUUUCCUGCUGUCAUUGCAAGUUCAGAAAGUGGCCAAGCAGUGAUUUUGGCAUGUCUCACCAGAGAUAAACCCAGCCUACUGUUGAGUUUUGGAGCCACCUCCUAACAAAAUUUUUAUCAAAUAUUCUUAUGUUUGCCGGUUUGGAUCCAGGAAUCAAACAAGCGAUGAAGUUGGUGCCUCCUGCCUCCAGACUCCAGGUACGAAUCCUUUUUUGUCAUAUCCGUUGUCUUUCAAUGGUAAAAAAACGCAUACGUACGUUGUACUCAUUUUUUUUUCAUCUCUAUAUUAUAUAAUAUGCUAGUAACAUUUUGCUAUGUGGCAUGAAUCAGUGAUGCUAUCCUGCUGCCAUGCUGUUGUAUCUUUGCAAACUAAUAAAAUACAGUACAGUACCAUACCUUGGUCUAUUUGUUCAGUGAUGCCUGAUCUAUUACAGUGUUACUAUAUGCAUUUUUAUACUCCAAUCUUUGACCUGCCAGUCAAACUAUCUGCUGCUCUCUCUCUCUCUGGCAUCUGCCGCUGCAGCCAUAGCCAUACCAUACCAGAUGCAAACAGGUUAGCAGCAAACCCAAUGCUCUUCUGCUCCAUCUGCCAACUUAAUGGCUGUGUCUUGCGAACAUCUUGAACAAACCCCUGCCCCCAUUGCCCUUGGGUACUAGGAGUACUCCCUCGCAAUGGUUUGCAUGCUGAUAAGUUUGAAUUGAUUUAUAGAAAAUAGGUGCAACAUUUAUGUCUCCAAAUAAAUUUGUUAAAAAACUAGAUUCAAUUAUCUAUCCAAUGAUACUAAUUAUAUAUUAUAAAUAUUAAUAUUUUUGAAUAUAUAUUUAGUCAUAGUUGUUCUUAGAAAGUGAAAACGACAUACAUUAAUAUUUCUGAACUUUGCGCUUCAUCAUUUGGAGCUGGAGCUGGGGGUGGCCGAACUUGUUCAUGCAUGUCCUAGUCCAGUAGACGACAAUCAUUCUAAACGAUGAUGACCUAGUUAUUCGCUAAGGACGUAUGCACACGGACCAAAGUGAUGCUGCCAGUACACUCAGGCUUUUGCUCCCUUUUUCCAGUUUGUUGUGAUUGCAAAUCUCUCACCUUCCUUCCUUCUUCUCCCUCCUCCUGAACACCAGAAACAGAAAGGUGAGACCUUUUCUCAGUGGCUUGCCACUUUAACAGGGCCAUCCCCAGCCCAGCUCGUUCGCUUGCCUUUUUUCCUCCUCACCUCUGAGAAGAUUCUUUGGUUUGUUACCUUGCUGCAGGCAAAUGCUUUGCUCCAUCCCAUUUCCAUCCAUCUGGUCAUCUGGUUCUGCUGUUAGUGGUGUGCUCAAAGCCUGUGGCUUUUAACAGCAGCCAGCCACUCAACUCACUCACAGUCACAGUCUCACAGAGGGAUGGACGGUGAAGGAAUCUAUUCUGGACUGGGGUUUGUAUUAUGAUCUGCAAAGCUCUCUCUGUAUAUGUGGCUCGUCUGCCUGCCCGUGCUCAUGGCCUGGGCCUCUUGUGCUUGUUGGAUUGCAUGACACAUCUCUAUCAGAUCACAGGACAAUCCAUGGUGGGGGUGAGAGCUGGGGAUCAUUCAUCUCAAAGGCGCUCGGCUUUUCAGUGCCCAAUGCUGCUCUACUCGGCUUGCAGCUGUUCCAGUUCAGGCUGACACCCCCACAAAUACAAAAAGGCGCAAGCAUCUCCGGCUCACAAGCACCGGUAAAUAAAUCUGAAAAGGAGCACAAACAUUCAAAUGGUUUGGCUUUUUCAUCACAAAGAAAAAAAAAGAGAAAAAUACAGAUGCCACUAUGCCAGAACUACAUUCCUAAUCUUAUUCCAGAUUUGCCUAACACUGCUUUGCUUUUGCUGAUCUGUUCGUUUGCAGACGCAUCAUUUGGAUGAUCCAUACGAUGGGGCCGUCGUAAUCUUGCUCGCCAAGGGUUUCUUUCUUCCUUAAAAGCUUCAUGUUGGCAAAAGACCAAGCAUUUUUCAUGGAGCAGACGAGACGACUGUUCCAAAGCUAUAAGCUUUGUUUCGAAGCCAAGGGAGCGGCGAGGUAGAUGCAGAUUGCAGAGAGCUCUGCUUUUGCUUAAGCUGGAGACCUGUCUGUACUGGAGUGCUCUACCUCUACGUACACUGUCUGUAUCUACCGAGUACUAAUACAGUACAGGGGUAGGUGCAAGCACUGGAUCCCAUUGACUACAACUAGAGUACAACAAAUAGGAGUAGACUGAUUUGUACAGAGGAGUAUGGUCAAGCUGCGUGUACUUGGGUGCGGAAUCAAAUCUGCCACCAAGUCAGUGCCACCCUUGCACCAUUUACUCUGGCACCUGCCCUACCCUGCCCUACCUCCCCCAACAAUGGAGAGCACUAGCACCAGCAGAGCCUUUGAGAGAUGGAGAUGGGAGAAGAAUGCAACAGAGGAUGAGCUGCAGCUGGGGAAAAGAUGAAUGAACAGCUCAAGUGAGAAAAUCCUUGGCUCGAUCGGAGAAGAUGACAAAGAAUCAAGGGAACUGGGGAAACAAUCACAGCACAUUGCAUUGCGUCCUCAUCAUCACAGGAGCAAUCCACAGCACAUUGCUCAUCAUCUUCACAGGCAAAAGAAACCAAAAAUGAAACAAAAGAAUGUUGCUUUGAUGAUCCAUGGGGUGGCAUGGCACGAGCCAUGGCAUCAACCCCUGCACAUCUCCUGCCGCCUCUCCUGCGCCACCUCGCCGGCGGCCACGGAGGAGGCUCUGGGCGUGUUGGUCACCGAGUAGAACAUGACGUCGCUGACGCUCCUCCGCGCCGCCGCCGCCGACGAGACCACCAUCCCAGGCUGCAGCAGCUGGGAGCGCUUGCAGUGCGCGAUGGCGCCCUGGAUGGCGCCUUCCUCGGACGACCCCGCGCUGCUGCUCCGCUUCAGCGCCGGCGUCGCUGUCCCCGCCGAAGCUGCCGCCGUCCGGAAGAAGAAGCCGUUGGCGUUGCCGCACGACGGCGUCGACGACGAGGAGGACGAAGACGAGGAGCAGAGCGGCGAGGUCCCGGGCACCUUGUUGCUGGUCGCCACGAGGCGCACUCUCCGGAUGAUGCCGGAGAAGGACUUGCGGUGGUGGCACUGGCACGCCUCCUCCUGCUCCAGGACGCUCCCCCUCGCGCUCACGCUGCCGAUGCCGUGCCCACUGGCGCUGGCGCCGGCGCCGGCGCCGACGCCGGCGACGAUGUCGCUCGGCAACGGCGGCCUGGCCAGGAACAGCGACCGGAUGUACUCCCUCGACGCCCACCGCUUCACCACCUUGAGCUUCUUGGCCCAAGACGGCUUCGUCUUGGCUGCGCACGCCUUGCCGCCGGCAGCCGCGGCGGCAGCGUCGGCGUCGGAGUCCCCACUCUCUGUCGCCGCCGCGGGAUCCGACUCCGCGUCCCGCUUCGCCCCUCGCAGCGGCGGCGGCUGCUCCUGGUCCUGGAGGAGCCUCUGCACGAGCUGCAGCCUUGGCGGCAGGUGGAGCGGCAGCAGGUUGCCCUUGUAGAACAGCUCGUCCGCCGGGGACGCGAACGCCGCCUCCCUGUGCCUGGCGUCGGCACCGGCAGCCCCGGCGCUCUGGAACUCGAAGCGUGGCGAGGAUGGCGGCGGCACCGAUGGGGUCAGGUCCAUGUCGAUGUAGUCGUCCUGGAUCACCAUUGUGGGGGGUGGCCUCGCCAUUGCCGCAAUGCCAAUGCCAGCUUUGGAGCUCCGAGCUUUGGGACUGGCCGACUGUGAGAGAAGGGAGGAGAGGGGAUUGGAAUUUUCGAAGGAAGAAGACAGGGGACGUCUGCUGCUCUGCUAGAUGAGCGAGCCAGAGAGAUGGGAGAUAUGGUUUAUAGGGUUUUGGGCGAUGCACGGCUUCUUGACAGUUUGGAUGGAUUAUGGAUAUAUGGAAUAUGGAAUGCAAAAUGCAGGUCUUGGAAACAAAAAGUUUUGGUCACCGUAGCACUUUCGUUUAUUUGUGGUAAAUAUUAUUCAAUUAUGAACUAACUAGGCUUAAAAGAUUCAUCUCGCGAUUUACGGGUAAACUGUGUAAUUAUUUUUUUGAUUUUGACUAUAUUUAAUGCUACAUGUAUAUGCCGCAAGAUUCGAUAUGACGGAGAAUCUUAAAAAAAAAUUGGUUUUUGGAUGAACUAAACAAAUGCAAAUGCGGGCAAUUAUUUUUUUUAAAAAAAAAAGUGGCAGGCAAGUGAUGGUAGUGAUCUGGCACGAGGAGAGGGUCUCUGUUGCAAGCUACUGUGGAAUACUGUGAUGAUAGAAACAGCAGUGGAUGUGAUGAUGAUGAUGAAUCGGUCAGGAUCAUCUCGCUUUUCGCUUGGCUUGGUUUUGGUUUGGUUGGCGUUGUGAUUAGUUUUUGGGAUUUUGGUUUGGCAAUAUCACCUUUUCUUGUUUGGGUUGAUGCAGGUGUGUUGCUGUUAGGAGGCAAAAGGAUGAUACUGUGGCACAACACCAGCUGCCUCUUAUUAUGUCACUUCUUGUAUAUGUUCUUUUCUUUAUUGUUACUCAAACAGUUUGUAGUCUUGUCAUUGUUUGGCUAUGAAAAAAGUUAUGAAUUGUAUUUUUUUUCAGAUCUGGGGAUAUAGCCCGUUUUUCAUUAAGCAGAGUGAAUUACAAGUCAGCUAUGAGAGAACUCUCGUAGCGCAGAUUACACACCAUUAAGAUAGUAGUGCAUAAUCUGGAAUAAACAUAAGAGCGAUAACAGAUACAAAGAGAGAGCGACUGCCCUCAACACCCUAGACCUGUCCUGUGCAUGCGGUAGAACACAAUGGAUUCCUGCGCCAAAAGACCAAGCCAUGGUGGCAAAGCAUCCACCCACGAGUCGGGUAACCAUGGCGGCAAAGCAUCCGCCUAUGAACCUGGCCGACACACUCUCAGUAGCAAAGCAUCUACCACAGAGGGGGCCACACGGCCAAACAACUGAUAGCGUCAAAGCAUCCACGAACUAACCGGGCCAACACACUCUCGGUAGCAAAAGCAUUUACCACAGAGGGGGACCAAACAGCCAAACAACCAAAAGCGACAAAGCAUCCACUAGACUGAAAGUGAUAGCGGCAAAGCAUCCGCUAGCAACAACAACGACGGGAAGCAUGCAUCAACGAAGAAAGCGCUUAGCGGCAAAGCAUCAGCUAGCAACGACGCCGACGACGUCAAGUGUAGUAGUACAACCCAUUGCGGUAGAACAUAAACACACAGGCACAACAGAGGACUUCUCCAGGAGCUCGUCGCACGGUAGUAACCACCGACAUCGCGACAAAUGAUGGGCCAAAAGAGAUCCAGCAGCGACGCCUUUAGGAAGGAGGUGACGCCCAAGGCACAGCCCUAGACGCCAUUGUCACUGGCCUUAGAAGCAUCUAAGGCUGGGCUUUUGCCCGAAAUCCGACAAUGGCGCGGAAGUAGAGGAGCACCGCCGCACAAAGCCCCGGUCUGGCCAGGGGGGCGCUGGCUCCAGCCCCGCCAGCCACGUCGCCAUCGAAGGGGAGCACGGGCAGGGACAGCACCCCCCUGCCUCAUCCCCGCGAGCUGUGUCCUCGAAGAGGGAGAGGCCAGCCCCGAGACCACAGGUGGAAGGCUGUGGAGGGGCACAGCGACCGGCAGCGCCAAUACCCGACUGUAGCCAUGGACGGGGCGACCCACAAUAGCGGCGAAGGGGAGUGGCGGCCAGCAGCACCCAAGGGCCCGCAGCGAACACCCUAGGCAUGCUGAGCACUGCAAGCGCCGGAUCCAGAGCAGUAGGCGCCGGAUCUGCACAUGGGGGACGCGGAUCUGGGCCGCCAGCUGACGAGCCCACCGGAGGAACGCCGACAAGGUCAUGGAGGUGGAGGAUUUGGAGAGGAAGAGAGUAGGGGGAUGGAGGACGCGGUGGGCACCUGCUUUGGGCCGCCGCCGCCGCACGCCGGAGGGGCAGCGACGGCGGCCGGAGGGAGGACUGGGGAGGGGGCUACCUCGGGUGCGGCGGUGGUUGUCCCCCGAGUCGCCCAGGGAGAGCGCUCGGGGGUUUGCGUUUGAUUCUAGCUUUCGAUUUCGUAAGUUGUUUUUUAAUUGUACUAGUUAUUGACUGAAAAUUUUUCGGCUACCUCCUCUAUAUGUUUUAAGGCCUUGUUUAGUUUACGAAAAUUUUUGGAUUCGAUUAUUGUAGUAUUUUUGUUUGUAUUUGGUAAUUAUUGCCCAAUAAUGGACUAACUAUGCUUAAAAGAUUCUUCUCGCAAACUGUACACUUAGUUAUUUUUUUUAUCAUGGUUCAUGUAUGCGUCCAAAGAUUUAAUGUGACGAAAAAUCUUGAAAAAUUUUGGGGACUAAAAAUGGCCUAAAUUGCUACAAGCUGACUCGGAAUUGUUCUCUUGUCAAUGCUUUCUCGGAAUUGUUCUCCUCGGUGAUGGCGGUAAAAACCGUGAUAAUGUUCCGUUUGGCUUUGGCAGGUUCACGCAUCAAGACUUUUGGUCACACGGCACGGCUGGCUGGCUGGCGUUCGAUUGAAUUCAUUCAAUGCCAUGCCGGUUUCUGACUGUGAACCGUGCCGUGCCCAAGCUAGCAGGGAAAGCAGCCGAGCAGGAGCAGGGACCAGGUAGCUUGCUGCUUGCAGCAAGCAAAGCCAAGGCAGGCACGCGGUCAAAAAGACUCCCAACGGUUAAAGACGGCUAUCAUGGUGAAGUAAGUACAGUACAGUACCUAUCGUUUAGUGAGUUAGUGACUAACUAACCACCGGCUGGAUGGGAUGGGAUGGGAUGGUAAUAAGCUUUUCUCAAAGCCUGCCAUGGCAUGGCAUGCCAAUGUGCCAUUGGCAAUGGCAGCUACCACUCACUCCUCCAGCCAAGCCAUCAUCACCAUGCGUCCAUGCCUGCUCUCUCUCUCUCUCUCUCUCUCUCUCUCUCUCUCUCUCUCUCUCUCUCGCACACACACACAUGCAGCAAGAGCAAUGGCAGUGGCAAUUGCAGAUGCAAUUGUGGACGGCCACCAACCGGAGAGAGAUGGGUUUGCUUUGCUUGGCACCUCACACUCAUCUUUUUCUCUUUAUUUAUUUAUGAUUUAUCCCUUCCUUCCUACCUUACCUUGGACUGACUGAUGUUACGGUGGGGUUAAAGUUAAACACACAUGCUUUUAUCUCACUGUAUGUGUAUGCUUGCACAGGCACAGGCACAGGGUGCUUAUUAAAAGUUGCAGUAGGCAUAUUCAUUCGGGUCACAAGAGGGCAGUUAAACUUUGUUUGACCACCCUUUGGCCUUGCUCUCGUGUCUGCUCCACACACCACACUCCAUUCCAGACUCCAGUCCAAAAGCCAGCCCCUUGCCUUGUGCCUGGAUAUGUGUGUGACUCCACUCCCACACAUGACACUGUGCAAAAAACUACUUGUUUACUGCUUGUCUGAGGACUGAUUAGCUCAUUAUUUCAUUUGUUAGGGUUAACUAGCUCUCAUUGCUUAAGCUGGAUUAGUCAGUGUCUAGUUAAGGGCAGGGGAAGAAGAGCCGCCGUAGCCCUAGUACUGUCGUAGCAAAAUAUUGCUACUAGUAAUGCAAGCAUGAAGUCAUCAAGAGCUGCUAGCUAGCUAGCUUCAUCUUUAGUUUAUUUGUGUAUGAAGACUGUCAGGCGGUGAGCUUAGUAUGGAAAAUGAUUCAGCCCAUAAGAUUGAGAUUGCACUAGGAUUCGAGAUCAAUGCCAACGCAGCUACUAAUGACAUUGGUCUAUGAUUUUUUUUGUUGGGGGUUGUGGGUGUGGGGCUUGGGGAGGGGUGUUCCAUUGUGAAUCUUUUUAUUAUUAUUAUUUUUGACCUAUUUUUAAGCAAAUGUUUUAAAAUAACUUACCACCGAAUUAAGUUACAGAUGACCACUAGUUAUGUUUUUGGUCAUGCCAAACUAUAUACAAAAAUUAAAUUAUGAAACAAAAGGGUUAGACGACAUUUUCGAAUUAUUUUGGGUUCUUUUUUAGGUUGAUUUUUCUAAAAUAUAUAAAAUAAUAUGGCUUUGCACCCAGCUAAGAUAUAUGGAACAUUUUUGCAUGCAUGCUGCUUUCUGACCCUUUCGCUUCAAGGAAAAUAAAGAGGAGAGACAAACAUACGUUGUAGCAAUGAGUUUUUUUCUUACGAUUUAUUUGUUUCAAAGAAAGUCUUAUAUAGAGUUGCUUGGCAGCUACUACUGGUAACUGUUUGGCUUUUGGAGCCAUACAAAAACAAGAAAGAUAUCCGGAAAACCUUUGCAUGCUGCUGCUCUCUUUUUUCCUCUCCCUCUUAUACUAUAAAAUAGGGACCCUCUUGUUGUCCAUUUCAUUGCUGUUCUCCUUUCAAUUCAAGCAAAACAAAAGAAACAAAGGAAGAGAUCAGCUUAUGUUGGUGGCUAAGUAACUUGUAGUAGCAUAUAGCGUAACAUAAUUGGUUUUGAUUACCUGGCCUAGGUUGCAGUUUGAUUCGGUAUCAACCUCAGUACUUGCUACCAGUACGUAGAGUUUAGGCAAAGGGUCGAGUGCGCAGUUUAGAGUUUGGUGCCCGUUUGAAUCCCAAUGGAUUUAAAAAUCUGGAUAAAAAAUCUAAUGUGUUCAUUGGAAUUUAUGUCUGUAUAUUAAAAUUCAAUAGAAUCUGCUGGUGUGGAAGAGAUUUAGAAUUCUGAGAUUUUUUAUCCAAGACAGAUAAAAUCCUCUGGAACCAAACAGGCAUCAGUUUCAGGCCGGUUAUUUGUUGUGUCCACUGUCCGCUGUCCUCGUCUGUCAGUCUAUAAGCAUACAGUAAAAGUAAACAUCAUGCUAAGGCCUUGUCCAGUUUAUUCUAAAAUCCCAAAAAAAUUCAAGAAUUUUUGUCACAUUGAAUCUUUGAAUGCAUGCAUUAAGCAUUAAAUAUCAAUAAAAAAUAACUAAUUAUAUAGUUUGUCUGUAAUUUACGAGACGAAUCUUUUGAACCUAAUUAGUCUAUGAUUGAACAAUAAUUAUCAAAUACAAACAAAAAUACUACAGUAGCCAAACCUAAAAAUUUUUACCAACUAAACAAGACCUAAAACUACUACAGGAAACUAAACAUACCUUUUGUUUUAGGCUGGUUAUCUAUUGUAUUCAUUGUAUUUAGUGUUAGCUUGAACUUAUCGAAUUUGUCAGUAUUAUUUUUCUCUCACAAUAAAUUAGCGAAGUAUUUUCAGCCAUGAUUUAUUAGUCAAGCAAACAUUCAGCACAAAAGGUGUAACCAGUACAUAUAACUAACCACACUUUUUUGUUUUAGACCGGUAACUGGUUAUCUGUCGUGUCUAUCGUCUAGCACACUCCUGCGUCUGUCAGUCUAUAAACAUGCAGUAAAAGUAAAAUGUACCUGGACACAUGCUCUCUCCUCCACCUGUCAGUCUAUAAUAACAUGCUUCUACUCUAUCUUUUCAUACCCAAAAAAUAAAAACGAUGUGAUGUUCUGGUAAUUUAAGUCUAGCCCUAUCUAACAUAUUUUUCUGUCUUAAAUAACUGUCGUUCUUGUUUUUCAAGAAACAACUUUAACUAUAUAUAUAUUAAAAAAUAUUAAUACUUAUGAUAUAUAAUUAGUAUUAUUGAAAAGAUCUUUGAAUUUAAUUUAUUUAACAAAUUUAUUUAGAGAUAUAAAUAUUUUUUAUAUUUUUUAUAAAUCAGUAAAACUUUUGAUAGAAAAAUCCAAAAUGAUAGUUAUUUUAGAACGGAUGAAGUAUUAGAAGUCAAAUUGAUCUGGCAGCAGUGAGGACGAAGAAGAUGAUGAGGAGAGGACGCAGGCCUUAUUUUUUUUGUGCAGCUAGGCCCACGAUAUACGCCAAAAACGAAGGAAAGCGGUGAGGACAUGUUCCUUCGCUUAAUGUGCUUGUUGGGCCAAUUACGUACGCGGAUUCUUAUAUCCAUAUCAAUUUUGUGAAGCUUAUGGAGCCUCAGUUUUUUCCCCCUCUCUCUCUCUUGCCAUCUGUACUCUUCUACUAUACAAGAAAAAAAAACUCAGAUUGUGGGGGAUAGCAUGCGUAUCCAUACACAAGGGCUCGGUAUCGUUACCUAUGAGUAGGCCGGUAUUACAAACAUGUGCUUUGGGUAACGCAGGCAGAUGAAGGGGUUUUUAACUUCGACGCUACAAUUUGUCCUCAUGAGGGAUUGAACUCAGGCUACAAGAGUGUCAUCCAGAGUGCUUGACCGGCCGGUUUAUCACAGUACUACAAAAAAAAAUACAUGGUGUUUUGGAUUGGGCCUCAGAGGCAGGCAAAACUUUCAACCGCAUCGGUAAAUACCUGAGAUUAAUCGAGGCAGUCACUUUUUAUAUUAGCUCAGGCAGUUACAAUCAAUCCUACCAAAUUGGAGUUCUCCUAGUGUUUUUAAUUAGUAAUAAAACACUACCACUAGUCAUAGCACUAGAGAAACCUCACUAGGAGACAUUUACUAGGAAAAGUUUGUACUAAAUUUUGAAUGUUAAAACACUAGGAGAAGCCCACAUCACUAUUAGGCCUUGUUUAGUUCCCCAAAAAUUUUGCAAAAUUUUUCAGAUUCCCCAUCACAUCGAAUCUUUAGACGUAUGCAUGGAGUAUUAAAUAUAGAUGAAAAUAAAAACUAAUUACACAGUUUGGUCGGAAUUGGCGAGACGAAUCUUUUGAGCCUAGUAAGUCCAUAAUUGAACAAUGUUUGACAAAUACAAACGAAAGUGCUACUAUUCCUAUUUUGCAAAAAAUUUUGGAAGUAAACAAGGCCUAAGAGAAGUUAAAAAUUCUGGUUGUGACCUGCCUCACAAAAUCGAAUAACAAAGGCGGUUCAUAAAAUUUAUUAACCGAAACUGGCCUUAUAAGUGACCUGCCUCCAAAAAUACCCCCGCCUUGGAAAAAACCGAGGCCUAUAGACGACCCAGAUCAGGCCCGUAGGCAUGACCAAGUAUAGAAUCAUAAGUUAGGGUUCCUCUCUCAUCUCUCACUCCUCUCUGAGCUCCUUCUCCCAAAGCCUCAUAGUAUGCGGCGCCCUCUCCUCCCCGAGUGCGCGCCUCUCCCUUUCCGAGCAGCUCCUCUCCCUCUCUCUCUCUCUCUCUCUCUCUCUCUCUCUCUCUCUCUCUCUCUCUCUCUCUCUCCCACUCUGAGUGGUCUCCCUCUCCCUCUCAGGUGCGAGUGGCAUGGCCAGCGUGACCUUGCGCGGACAUCGGCCUUGCGGCCUCAUGCGAGCGCGGGCGAUGCAGUCUCACAGGCAAGGGCGCACAAGCGGCAUGGCCCCCUCACGUGGUGCGGCUAUUUCUCCAAGCAGAUGCAGCAGCACGACAUAGUGACUCCUGUACUGAGGCGGUGAUGGUCCUGACACGCCCUCUCUUGUCUCCCUCCGGCAGCGGGCCCUCCCGACGGGCCUGGCGCUCAGGCACGCAACCCAGCGGCUCUAGUAGUGGUUGGAGCCGACGAGCAGGCCUCCCUCCAGCAGUGUUUCUCGAGCAGAUCUAGCGAGCAGGCCUCCCUCUAGCAGCGGCCUCCCUCGAGCAUCCAGGUAGUGGAGGAUCGAGUGUCCAAGGCUGCGGCGUGCGGUGCAUGGAGCAGGGCCAGCUCCCCUGGCGGUGGCGGCCCAGAUCGAGGCCUGGUUAGGGCUAGGUAUGAGCUUUUUCUAUUUUUUUUCUUUUUUGUUUGAUUUACCAAGGCGGUCAUCAAACCACCUCGGCAAAGGUCUAAUUUACUGUGACUUUUGGUCCGAGGGUUGGCCAAAAUGUCUCGGUUAAACUUUUUUGCCCAUCUCUAUUAAAAUUAAUAUAGUAGUGUCAUCUGCUGGCCUUCUACUGUACUAGCAUUUACACAAACUUUUAAAUCUCUGAUGUCAACGUCUCAUGCCGUGCUUCUUUCUUUUCCUCAUGCGUUUUGAGAGCUCGUUAGAAACAGCCAGACGGUUCUAAACUUGUAAUUCGAGAUGUUCCGAUCCAUUGGUGCUCUUCUUAGUUUGUAAAUAAAUAUCGACUCUAGUUUUCACCUUUUUCAAGAAUUAUUAAGGAUGUGUUUGGAACACAGAAAUUUCACAGAAAAAACAUAGAAAUAUUAAAAAAUCACAUUCGAAACAGGCCCUAACUAUAGGCUACUUUCUAUAUGAUAUUGUAAAUAAAAAAAAUAUUUAGCCUGAAGGCCCAACUAAAUAGCCGGCCCAUGUACACCUGCCCACAAACUUGACAAGCUGGUCCAUGCGCACCACUGGCAGAUCAAGCAGCAGCCACUCGUUCAAGCUAUCUCCAACAAAAGACCUUAUUAGGAGACAAAAUCUAAAAUAGGUCUCGAACACAAUACCUAUAGAUCAAUUUUAGGUAUCAGAUAUGAGUAUCCUCUCUUUUCGAGAUCUAUUUACAGAAAGAAUUUUCUUUUGAAUCUUGUUAUUGAAGAAGACUAAAAAUGAGUAUAGAACCUUUUGACUGUAGUAUUACCUAAACUUUAAAUGCAGUUUGUAUUUUGGGUAAGGGUUGUCAGAGACAGACUAACAUCUAUCGAGAGCAUCCACGUGCUACUGUAGAACUCCCAUCACAUCCCAGGUUCAGAACGUACGUUGGCGCCCUUGAGAAGAUCAGCUUGCAAACACAAUUAGGCCUUCUUAUUUUCUUAGUGAAAAAGUUUUUGGGUAUUGUAGUAUUUUUGUUUGUAUUUGAUAAUUAUUAUUUAAUUAUAGACUAACUAGGUUUAAAAGAUUCGUCUCGCAAAUUACAAACAAACUAUGCAAUUAGCUUUUUUUAAUCUAUAUUUAAUGCUCCAUGCAUCUGCCCCAAUUCACAUGUAUCCAAGCAUUUGAUAUGAUGGAGCGAAAAAGUUUUUGGAUGGGAACUAAAUAGGGGGUAAGGGAAGUAUUUGAAUAUGAAUGUGCUACGAUUAGGGGAAUUUCCAGUUUAUUUUAAUCCAGAAAACAUUAUACUCCCUCCAUCCCAAAUAAGUGUUGUUGUGGUAUUCAUAUGUACUGGUCAAACUUUUUCAGUUUCGACUAGGUUUAUAUAAAAUAUUAAUAAAAUUUGUAUAUUCAAAUAAGUUUAUUAUGAAAAUAAAUUCAAUAAUCUAUCUAGUGGUACUAAUUAUGUACUAUAAAUAUUAAUAUAUUUUUUGUAUAUAUUUGAUCAAAGUUGAAAGUGAUGACUUCUCGGAAAAUAAGAAUGAUACUUAUUUUAGGACGAAAGGAGUACUAAGAAGUAGUAGCAAGUUCAAAAACAAGCAUAAUCAUCUCAAUAGACAGCACUAAAAGUAGUCAAAGAAAUCCACUCAAAAAAUUUUGAGAGCAUGGCUUGUGUGAGACCAAUGCUGAAAGCAUCGGUGGGCGAGCCAAGUAUUUUCUUAGCUGGCUUGUUUAGUUCCGAAAAGUGAAAAGUUUUCGGUAUUGUAGCACUUUCGUUUGUUUGUGACAAAUAUUAUCCAAUCAUGGACUAACUAGGAUCAAAAGAUUCGUCUCGUAAUUUACAGCUAAACUGUGUAAUUAGUUUUUGUUUUCGUCUAUAUUAAUAUUUUAUGCAUGUGCCACAAGAUUCGAUGUGACGGGGAAUCUUGAAAACUUUUUGGUUUUCAGGUGAACUAAACAAGGCACUGGUCAAAGUUGAGGGGAAGUAAAGAUGCAUGAUGAAUCCCUCUAGCCUCUAGGGUGGCGAAAAAGCCUUCAAAUCAAAGGUUACCUGAAGUUUACAUGACAGAUCAUGUGUGGAUUAUCUUUUCCUUUGUGUUUAAUAUUUAAUACUUAUUUAAAUAUUCGAAAGUUUUUGGAUGAAAACUGAACAAGGCCUUGCCCAUUGCGCGUCUGUGUCGCUACAUGUUCAGAAUGUAGCAUGUUUCAGUCCACUCCUGGUAAACCGCUGGACGUGUGCAACUUGUACUGCAGUCGGUUACGCGAGCACCUCCGCCUGAUACUAUGUGCUGUUGUCCAGCUUUUUCUAUCUACGAAUGAUACAUUGAUACACCAGGCCAAAGCCAAUAGAAUAGAAAAUAUAUGUUUCAGAUAGCACUAGCACCAAUUAGUCAAUCUAAAAGCAUAAUAAGGUAUAGUCCCUUGCAUAAUUGCUGUAUUGUAUCCCUGCUUCACAUGUCUUGCAGCCAAAAAAACUGAAAAGUAUCAUCUGAAGUUCUGACUCAACGCUACAUAAUUCACAGGAUAAUAUAAGUUGCCAACUAACCACUUGUUUUGAGAACAAAGAAGCUACUUCUGUUGCUGUUUUAGUGUUAGGUGGAGAAAGAGAAACAUUGAAAAUGAGCUAUCAUCUGCACUUUUCCUGUAUUGAUAUAUUGAUUGAAUAAUUUGGAGCUUGAGAACAUUUUUCUCUGACGCUCAUCUUUACAUGAUUAAUGGAAUGGUUUAGUAACUGAGCACUGAGUCAAUGUUAGCGCUUUACUCGCCCUUCUGCUUCCUCGACCGCCUCUUGGGGCCUGGAGAGCUUGUAUACCUUCCCACGAACUUGAGAACCUCGUCGAUGAGCACCACCGGGAGAGCGACCAGCAGGACCAGCAGCCACUCGUUCAGGCUCAGUGGAACGAUGCCAAACACUGUUGCAAGGAAUGGCACGUAGAGGAUCAGGAAGUGGAGCCCGAACGACACCGACAUCGCAACGAGCAGCCACGGGUUCACCCAUGGCGGCAUAGUGAGCAGGCUGCUGUCUUCAGAGAGAGCAUUGAGCGAGUUGAACAUCUCGAUUGCCACCAGGACAGAGAGGGACAGCGUUGUUGCCUUCACUUUUCCUGUGUGGAAGUAGUCGCAUGGGUCAUCAAAUGUGAAAGUUUUAGUUCCAGCGGUGAAAGGUGAAGCCGUGAAGUUGUCCCAGGAAGAGCACUGGCCCCAGUUUGAAAGCUGUGAGUAACUGACAAGAGUGUGACCAUCUCCAGUAAGGUCAAUCCCCAUGAAAGACCCAUGUGUGUACCAUAUGACGAAGAUGCCAACAGUUGCAAUCCCAACAUAAAGGCCAAUUAUCUGCAGACAAGGUAAAAGUCAUGAGGAACUGUCUCGAAAGAUAUAAGGUUCCAAAAAUGACCGAACAGAUUCAAGGGAUGAAUAGUAAAAGACAAGGGAGAUCAUUUACCAGGUAGCGGAACAAAAUCCAGGGAGUGAUCAGUGAAUCAUCGCUCCUCCUAGGUGGCUUCUUCAUGAUGUCCUUGUCAGGUGGAUUGAAACCUAAAGCAGUUGCAGGGGGACCAUCGGUGACAAGAUUGACCCACAGAAGUUGAACAGGUAUCAACCCCUCAGGAAUGCCCAAGGCAGAAGUUAGGAAAAUAGAAGCAACUUCACCAAUGUUUGAGGAGAUCAUGUAUCUGCAGCAGCCAAGGAAGACAGUCAAGAAUGCUCAAGAGGGAAAAAAAAUUAUGCUGGUACUGUUGACUGAUGAGAACUACUAGAAAGUGUGAACAAUAAUCAAACCAUGCUCUUAGAGCACAAACCUUAUGAAAGCUUUCAUGUUGUUGUAAAUAGAUCUUCCUUCACCAACUGCAGAAACUAUAGUGCUGAAAUUGUCAUCAGCCAACACCAUGUCAGAGGCUUCUUUGGCAACCUGAAACAUUAGAGAUUUGUUUUAGAAAAACACUGCAUAUUAUAGCAUGACAAAAUCAUAGUUUUACAUGUGAAUAUUCCUUGUGGGCACAACAACAUAUUAGAAAUCCAUGCCCUACAGAAUAAAGUUGAUGUUGUUAACCCGUUCUGUUGGCUAUAUGAAAAGCAGCAAAACAAAGCAGCAGUCAUUCUCUAGUGGCCAACACCACACCCCUUUCAAUAAAAGCAGUCGCUGGAAUUGGAUUGCCUAUCUAAAAAUAAUAAUUUUACAGCUUCCUCAAGCAGAAAUAAUACGGCAAUUCAAAAGGCUGUAGCUCUAUGUCCAGGAUACUAGAAAGAUGUGAUUUGAGGUGAACCUAAUAAGAUGGAAAACAGUAUUUACCUCAGUUCCUGUAAUGCCCAUUGCUAUACCAAUGUCAGCCAGUUUCAGAGCAGGGGCAUCAUUGACUCCAUCUCCAGUCAUGGCGACAACUUCCCCAUCUUCUUUCAACAACCUCACAAUCUCUUGUUUGUGCCUAGGUUCUGCCCUAGAGAACAGAAGGCCACCUUUCCCGCGUAGCAGUGUCUUCUUGUCCUCAAGUGCCAUGAACUCCUUCCCUGUAAGGCUCUUGAAGGUGAUAUCCUCAUCAGGUGAAAACACACCAAUUUCACGGCAUAUUGCCUCAGCAGUUUCUUUGUUGUCCCCUGUUAUCACCAUAACACGGAUGCCUGCAGCUCUACAAUCUUCAAUAGCAUCAUAGACCUCUUCCCUGGGAGGGUCCUGGCAAAUCAAAACAUCCAUGAGAAGAAAAUUGUUAAUUUUAUAAGAAACUCAAGUGCUGACACAUUGUGCACGUCUCUGUCUCUAAGUGUGUCUAUUCCAGAUUGUGGAGUGCAGAGACAAUUCAAUGCAGCUCAAAGUAGGAGCGUUAUCUUACCCUUAGGCCUACAAGACCCGCAAAUAUUAGGUCAGUCUCAAUAGCUGCAUAAUUGGCUGGAUCCAGCAAGAGCUUAUGAGCAGGAUGGUUUUCACCAUCAUAUGUUGCAAAUUCUGCUAGAUCCUCCUUGUAUGCAAAACCGAGGCAGCGCAGAGCUUUUGUUGACAUCUCAUGGAGGCUUGCCAGGACAGUUUUCUUUGCUUUAUCAUCUAAUGGCACCACGGAACCAUCCUUCAGUUGAAUGUGGCUACUUCGUUCAAGUAAAGUUUCAACAGCUCCCUGCCAUAAAUAUAAGAACUCUGAAUACCAGUCCAGCAAACAUGUGAUCCAAUGAAAAGCAUACUUAGCUUGUAAAUGAAAAAUCGUUCAGUACAAGUGCAGGAAAUAGGGGAAUAGAUACCUUCACGAGAAGGGCAUUGCUUCCUGAACUGGUUUUCACAAUGGCACCCAUUGAUUUCCUUGUGCGGUCAAACUCGAGGGUAGCAAUCCUUUUGGCAACAUUGUUCCACCAUUUGCAGCAGCCUGUCAGCAAACAGCAUUGCAAUCCACUUGUGUGAGACUCCUUGCAUGUAUGUAUUUAUUAAGCAUCACUUACAAGGAAGGAAAUAGAAUAAAGGCGCGAAGAACGUGUAUUUGUUACCUAAUGUCUCAGACGGAUCCAAGGACAGACCAUUCUUUCCUCCAGGCAGGCCCAUUUUCUCAACCAGAACCUAGAAGUAAUAAAAAAAAGGAAGUUAGUGAACACAACGCCUUGUUUCCCGACAGCAAUCUUGUCCUGUUUAGCAUUGGACCAACACAUGUGAGAACACCAUUUUCAGUUCAGUUAUUAUCACUGUACUGUACCUAGUAGGCUGUUUGCAGCAUGAUAAUCAACUGGUACAUUUGUAACCGGCAAAUCAGAGUUACUCCUAACUGGCAGGAUUUGGAGAUUGUAACAAUAGCAAAAUGCGAAUAAGUUUUAGCAACCUCACCUUUAGAGCUGCCUCUGUUGGCAUUCCAGUGGCAACAUACUGCUGCGAAGAAAGUGCCACAUUGGCAUCGUUGCACACAGCUGCGACCUUAGCGAUCGUCUCGAGGUUGGCAUCGAUGCUCCCAGCAGGCCAAUCGUGAAUUUUCCCGUCCUGGGGAUCGUAGGACGUACCAUCCACCUUGAAGCUCCUAACCUCCUGUGAAGAAUCGCCGAUGGCCACGAGCUUGGCCACUGACAUCUUGUUGGUGGUGAGCGUCCCGGUCUUGUCGGAGCAGAUGACGGUGGUGCAGCCGAGGGUCUCGACGCUAGGCAGCUUCCUGACGAGCGCAUUCUUGGCAGCCAUCUUCCUGGUCCCGAGCGCGAGGCAGGUGGUGAUGACGGCGGGCAGGCCCUCGGGUAUGGCGGCGACGGCGAGCGCGACGGCGAUCUCAAAGUAGUAGGUGCACUUCUCGAAUGAGAAUUUCACGUUCCUGGGCACCCACCCCCCCUGGAGGUCGAAGGUGAGGAAGUACUUGACGUUGAUGAGCCAGACGAGCGCGCAGAUGAGUCCGAUGAUCUUGGUGAGCGCCUCCCCGAACUCGUUGAGCUUCUUCUUGAGCGGCGUGUCGUCCUCCUCCUGCGACGCCUGGUGGAUCUGCGCGUGGAUGGCGCCGAUCUCCGUGGCCAUCCCGGUGCGCGCGACGAUGCAGAGCGCCGCGCCGUUGACGACGGUGGUGCCCGCGAACACCAUGCACUCCUUCGCCUGGAUAUCAGCAUCCUCCACGGGCACCGCGCGGGAGGUCUUGUUGACGGACGCCGUCUCCCCAGUCAGCGACCCUUGCUCGAGUCGUAGCGUGGAGGUGAGCAGGCGCGCGACGCGCAUGUCGGCGGGGACCUUAUCCCCAACACGGAGCUGCACGACGUCGCCCGGGACGAGGUCCCGCGCGGGCAGCGCGGGCACCCAUCCGCCGUCGCGAAGCACGGCGGCGUGGUGGGACUGGAUCUCCCGCAGCGCGUCCAGCGCCCGCUCCGCGUUGGCCUCCUGCCACACCCCGACUGCCGCGUUGACGACGAGGAUGAGGAAGAUGACGAGCGGCUCGACGAAGGCGGCGAGCGUCGGCGCGGACCCAGAGGCGGUCGAGGAGGAGAGCGCGAGGACGAAGGAGACGGCGGCGGCGGCCAGCAGGAUGCGCACCAGCGUGUCCUCGAACUGGUCCAGCAGCAACCGCAGCAGCGACGGGCCCGGGUGCUCCGCCAGCUCGUUGGGACCGUAGGCGCGUAGCCGCUCCGCGGCUUCGGAGGAGGAGAGGCCCCGGGUGAUGGACACCCCCAGCCGCGCCUCGCAGUCCGACACCGUCCGCGCCCACGCCGGGAACGCCGUCAUGUCGUCGUCCGGGUCCGUCGCGGCGGGCACCGGUGGCGCCGCCUCGCCCAUCGCCGUCGUCGGACUCGGUGGGGCCGGCUGAAGCGGAAGCAGGGGAUGGCAAUGCCCUGCCCACGCGGGGGGAGCGGGGACGGGUGAAGCGGGUGCGGCGGAGUUGUCGGAGUCCGGGCGGCGGCGGCGGUGGCGGUGGGAGAGGAAGGACGGCGGCGACCGACGAGGAGGAGUCGUCGCGGUCCCGGAAGUUGUUCGGCGUGGGCCCCGACGGUCCCUACCUACGGCUACGGGUAGUGGUGGUGGGGUGGAGGAGGUGGGAACCGCAUGCGCGGCGGUCGGUCGGGGCGGGGUGGGUCGGUGCGUCUCCUCUGCUCUGCUUCGGCUUGUGCUGCAAGUUGGUGGUGAGGGGAGGAGGGGAGUUGAAGAAGAAGAAGAAGAAGAAGAAGAAGAAGAAGGCGGUGUGGAUGGAGGACGGAGAGGACGACGAGGUCCUCGUCCUCUUGAAAUGGAAUUCGGGUUGGGGUCGCGGCCUGCGGACGAAGCUGCCGCGAAGCUUCCUAGGCUGCUACUACUACUACUACGGCCUGCGGCGCGGGGGCGGGUGGGGGAGGGAAGCCGCAAGCGGCCUGCGGUGGCGCGGGCGGCUGCGGCUACUCCCAACCGCCGCCGCUAGCGCAGUCCGGCAAACCGCGUCGGAAUCAAUGCGGGUGCAUCCAGAAUGGAAUGGAAGCGGAGCGGAGGUCUGCUGCGGCUGCAAAGUGGCGCCGCCCGCCCGCGCCGCGCGGCACCGGUCCAUCUACCAGUGGAAGGCAAGGGAAAGGUGCCCGUCGUCCACGGUGGCGUCGACAGAUGGCGCACGCCGUCGCAUCCUCGUGGAGGUGAUGGCCACCUGGCAGGGAUGGGAUGGGACGGGCCCGGCCUCAUCACUGCAUAUCUGUGUGCUCGGCAUGCGUGCCAAUCGAAUUCAUCACUGCUGAUAGCCUGAUGUUUUUUUUUUCUUUUUUUUUUUUUUGACGAGAACUGAUAGCCUGAUGUUGUGUGCUGGUAUGAUGAUACUACUACUAUACUACGCGCAAACCAACCCAGGCGGAAUUUUUUAUUUUAAAUUUAAUCUUUUUUUCAAAUAUUAUUUUAAAAAUGGUCUAAUAUCAGUUUCUAAUCCUUUUAUUAGACGCGUAAUCUCACGUAUUUUUAUUUCUUAUUUCUAAGUCUUUUGGACGCGUCCACGUGUCUGGCCUCACAAAAAUACAAUAUCACGCCACAUAUAUCGACACAAUAAUAAUAAUAAUAAUAAUAAUAUGGUCUGGCGUCUCACGACGUGCAUAACGAUUUUCAUGUUACAUUGCGCCAAGUCGCCAACCGACGAAGUAUAAGGGUUUUAACUAAGUCUAAUCUAAGUCACCAAUGAAGCUUGGUGGAAAUUAAAGAGAAAACCAAUAGUAUUAAAAGAUUUCCCUUGAUGUGUAAAUCUCUAUUACAUGCUAAACAUCAUCCUUUGAUAUCUCUAAGAUAUUUGAACCGCUACGGGGCGGGAUCGGGGGCAGGGGCGGAGGCGGGGGCGGGGGCGGCGGAAACGGAAAGAGGGAGGGCGUGACCUAUGUAGCUUCGACAUUACCUAAGUCAAAUCAUGCCUUUGAUGGACUUUAGAAAAAGAAAAAGCGGUAGUUACGACAUAAAGAAAAUAGCAUGAUUGGUUUCAUAGGAAACGUAUUUCUAUAAUUUAUAUCUUUCCAUUUGAUAGAUGCUAAUAUUUUUUGUGUUAAAUUAAUCGAAUCUUGCAUAGUUUGACUUAAAACAAUCUAUACCCCUUAUAUUUAAGAAUGAAGAAAUUGGGUUUUUUAAGACAAAUUGGCAUAAAGAGGCCUAUGUGUAUAUUUAUUAGAGGUAGUCACUAAAAACUAAUCAACUACUCGCUUCAUUCAAAAUUAUAAGAUACUUUAACUUUUCUAGAUUCAUAUUGUUGCUAUUUACCUAGAUAUAUAUUAGAUAUAUGGUAAAAGACUAUAAAUUUAGAAAUAUCAAAACGUCUUAUAAUUUUGGACAUAGUAAGUCCGCGUAAAUAAUUCAACUUACAGUUGUGCAAAGUCAAAAACAUGUUUUAACUUGUCUAAAAUUGGUGUUAGAAAUAUCGUUAUUAUUCCUUGCUAUAAAAUUGGUCAAACUCAGGAUCCUUUGACCUAAGGUAUAUAAUUUUAGGACUCGAUUUAUUUUUUUGAUGGAAUAUUAUGGAGUACGAGUAAAUAAGAAAUUUUCACGUACUCGAUCAUAGCAAUGAGCCUAUGGCAUGACGUAGUGUCAACGUCCCAAGGUUUAUUGGCGACAAGAAUGAAGAAUCAGUCUAUUGGAAACAUAGAUGAUUUAAAUGCUUCUAUCACUCGUGCGACGGAAACAAUUAAAACACACGGUUCUCACAUUAAUUACAUAAUAGGUGACAUAUGAAAAUCAAACACCUGAAUUUGAAAACCACAAGAUUACAUCUAACGGACCAUAUAAAAAACAAAGGGUCCAAAGAAACAAACAAAUUGUGGUAAAAUAAAUAGGCAUUAUAAAUUGAUUUCCAAUUUGAUGCAUCCCUAAAAUGCUACCCUAGCGUUAGCACGGGUACUAUACUAGUAAUAAUAAUAAAGUUAGAUUUGUGUAAUGUGGUUAGGCAUUGUUUAGUUACCUUGCUGAAAAGUUUUUGCUUAGUGUAGUAUUUUUGUUAUAUUGAAAAUUAUUGUUUAAUCAUAGACUAACUAUACUCAAAAGAUUUGUCUCAUAAAUUAUAAACAAACUAUAUGAUUAAUUAUUUUUUAUCUAUAUCAAAUGUUCUAUGUACGUACUGCAAAAUUUAAUGUGAUAGGGAAUCUUAAAAAGUUUUUUAAAUUUCACCAGUCGUAGUAGUAUUAUUAUACUGUUAUCAUCAUUAUUUAGCGAGACAUGAAAGCGGGGAAUAUGCCCUGCCGGUGUGGGGCGAUCCAUUUUUUGUCAACGAAGGUUCGCGGGCUGUGGUUAGAAAUAUUUUGGUUUUUUUUACCGUUUUCAUUUGUAUUUACUCCCUGCCUCAAAAAAGAACAUUAUUUUAGAAUUUCAGAUAUCUUAUUUGAUCAUUCGCCUUAUUUAAUUUUUUACAUAAAUAUUAUAUGUUUUGUUAAGACUUAUUUUAUCACAACAGAUACUUUAUAAAUGAUUUAUUUAUUUUAUAAUUUACAAAAAAGUCAAACAUAAUUUUUUUAAAAGUUAAAAACGUCAUUUAUUUUGAAACAAGAGAGUAACUAUUAUUGUUCAAUUAUAUAUUUAUUAGACCUAAAAAUUUGUCUUGCAAAUUAUAUAUAAAUUAUAUAAUUAGUUUUUUAUAUUUAAUACUCUAUAUAUGUACUGUAAGAUCUGAUCCAACGAAAAAUUUUAAAAAAUUUUGGAAAAUUUUUAGGAAACUAAAGAGCGUUGCAUCACUUUUUGCAGGAGAGUAGGAGAUGUUAACGUGUGCCGCCGGCUCAACGAUCAACGUCGACAAACCUCGCGCAGCCGCAGCGCCAAGGAACGACGACUACACUUUUUAACUCCGGCAUCCACCGUAUCCACAAUUCCACAUCCACUCUUAGGCAUUGUUUAGAUUGCUAAAAUUUAUCGUCCGUCAUAUCGAAUAUUUGAACACAUAAAUGAAAUACUAAAUAUAGAUUAUUUAAGAAACUAAAAAUAUAGCUAUAGAGUAAUUUGUGAGAUAAAUUUUUUAAGUUUAAUUAGUCCAUGAUUAGACACUAAUUGUCAAAUAAAACGAAAAUACUACAGUACCUAUUAAAUUUUUAGUUGACCUUAAAAAUAAAAAAACUUUUCAAGAUUUAUCGUCACAUCAAAUUUUGCGGCAUAUACAUGAAGCAUUAAAUAUAGACGAAAAUAAAAACUAGUUACACAGUUUGCUUGUAAAUCACAAGAUGAAUUUUUAAGCCUAAUUAGUUUAUAAUUGGACAAUAUUUACAAAAUAAAAUAAAAAAUACUACAAUACCCAAAAGCAAUAAAUUUUCAAAACUAAACAAGGCCUUAAUGCGUAUCAUACUUUCCUUCCUCCGUAUCCCUCGAGUUGACCAAGGAUGAAUAAUUCUCCAUCUCAACUUCAAAAAUAUUUCUUUUAAUUAUUGCCAGCAGCCAGGACAGCAGCAGCACCACGCGCUGUGCUGUGAACAUGUGGGCCUACCAUCUCCUGAGGCCCCACAGCGGCGGCCAGCCUACCACUAGCGCAUGCCAACGUUGUGGAGAGCGUGCGCCGCCGAAAGUCUCUUCUCUUUCCUACCCUACCCCAGAGUACUGUACCCAGUACCACUGGGACGUGGGCCUGACCGCGGAUUUCACUCUUGCUAUGGAGGCCUUGCCCUCGUCCAAUUUUUUUUUGGAUUUCAACAUUAUAGUACUCUUUGUUUAUACUUAUUUGAUAAUUAUUAUUUAUUUAUGGACUAAGUAAUCUCUAGUGAUUUUCAACCUCACUGUGCAAUUAGGAAUUUUGUAAAGUUUUCGAACUCUGUGGGAAACUAAACAAGGCACUUUUGUUUGUAUUUGAUAAUUAGGUCUUGUUUAGAUGUAUUUUUUUUGAAUUUCGCUACUGUAGCACUUUCGUUUGUUUAUGACAAAUAUUAUCCAAUCAUAGAGUAACUAGGGUCAAAAGAUUUGUCUCAUGAUUUACAGACAAACUGCAUAAUUAGUUUUUUUUUGUUUUCGUCUAUAUUUAAUGUUUCAUGCAUAUGCCGCGAGAUUCGAUGUGACGGGAAAUCUUGAAAACUUUUUGGUUUUUAGGUGAACUAAACAAGGCCUUAGUUCAUUUCAAAAUCCAAAAACUUUUCUAGAUUCUCUGUCACAUCAAAUCUUACGGCACAUGUAUGGUGUAUUAAAUAUAAAUUAAAAAAUAAUUAAUUGCACAGUUUGCCUGUAAUUUACGAGACAAAUCUUUUGAGCCAAAUUAGUCCAUAAUUGGACAAUGUUUGUCAAAUACGAACGAAAGUGCUACGGUGUCAAAAUCCAAAAACUUUUCAGAUCUAAACAAGGCCUUAUUGUCUAACUACUCUUAGGUUGAACAAUAAUUACCAAAUACACUAAAAAAAUUUUUGCGUAGAGAAUUUUGGUUUUCCAUCGAACCAAACAUCUGAAAAAAAAUGUCAUAACCAAACUGUGACCAAAAAUCUACUCCUGUCAUCCAUGACAUCGACACUGGGCCACCACCCAUAACACAAUUUGACUUGUCUCCACGCACGCAACCGCGCGACAAAACCAGCAGGGGGAAUUCGAAUUUCCACCUUUGGAAAAAAGAUCGAAUAAUUUCCCAUCUUUUUCCACAAGCCAUCGUCGUCAUCCUUGCGAGUCACAUCUCUGCAGAAAUUCUGUCAUCAGAUGAGACAUGCUACUGGAGUAGCAGGACCGGCGUAGAAUGCUUAAAAAUUGUCUUUUCACCAACUAAGGCCUUGUUUAGUUCGCAAAUUUUUUAGGUUUUGCCUACUGUAGCACUUUCGUUUUUAUUUGACAAACAUUGUCCAAUCACGGAGUAACUAGGCUCAAAAGAUUCAUCUCACAAAUUACAGUUAAACUGUGCAAUUAAUUUUUAUUUUCGUUUAUAUUUAAUGCUCCAUGCAUGCGACCAAAGAUUCGAUGUGAUGGGAAAUCUUGAAAAUUUUUGCAAACUAAACCAGGCCUAAAAAGAACCUUCCCAAUCUGCGAGGAAACGAGAGCUAGGUUAUUUUGGUUUGUUUGUUUUUGAAUCCAACAGCCAUAAAAUCGGUUAUUUGCAGGUGAACAUGAAAAUAUAAGAUAAUGAUAUAAGUUGAAUAGUUUGGAUUUGUAUUUGAAUAUUUAUUUAUUUGUUGUCUAGAGUUAAGCAUCCAUCUGUGUUACAAAAAGAUUUUAUAAAAAAAUAAGUCAUGUAAUGAGAGAUUGAAAUAUAGUAUGAUAAACUCUAUACAUAUGUGAUAUGUGUAUAGUAAACAAUAAUAAAAAUUCAUUGUUAGCUAUGUUAUUAACUAUAUAAAUUCACAAUGUUGCAAUCUGAUAAUUUCGUGCAUCGGAGUAGUUUACUACUGUGAAUUUGUAAGGCAUAUCCAGGCCUUGUUUAGUUGCAAAAAUUUUUGCAAAAUAGACACUGUAACAUUUUCGUUUGUAUUUGACAAAUAUUGUCCAAUCAUGGACUAAUAUGCUUAAAAAAUUUGUCCCAUAAAUUACAUAUAAACUGUGUAAUUAGUUAUUUUUUAUCUAUAUUUAAUACUUUAUGCAUGUGCUGCAAGAUUCGAUGUGACGAGAAAUCUUGAACAUUUUCUAAAACUUUUGGGAGGUAAACAAGGCCCUAAUAAUAAAGAGUUGAGAGGGUUCAAAAGGGUGGCAUUUUUGUGAAUCUUUUUUUUAUAACAUUUAUAGAUUCCAUUGAGACAAAAAGAAUACCACAAAUAAAAGAGCAUCCUAAAGGUUUUGCCCACAGCAUAAGGUAUUGUCCCUGCUUUUGCACGCAUUGUACUAGGUUUCAAAUUGUGAGUCUUUCCUAGAUAUACAUAGCUUUUGCUACACACUUAGAUACACAUUAUCAUAUGACCAUAUCUAGAGUAUAUAGUUCUCCGUAUAUAGAAAACCAGGGCUAUUUACAAUUCGAAACAGAAGGCGUAUUUGUUUAGGGUUUGCAAACGGUACAGGACAUUUGUUGGCUCUUAAAAGUGCUAUUGUUUUUAUGCCCUCUGUUUCAAUAGCUCCCUACCCUAGAUUGCACCACUGAAGUGAACGGCUUUUGAUGAUGCAAGUCUACAUGGAUGAUUAAUGGAUGGAAAGAAUGUAUUACAGGCAGCGGCAAAAGUCAACUUUAGGCUUUCUGUUCGCUUAGCUGAAAAGCUACGGCUAAAAAUACUGUUCGUUGAUUUAUUGAGAUAAAAAACACUGCUGAAUAACUAACAGAUUCGACAAAUAAUCUCAUGAACAGGUAGGGCUCUUAGAGAAGAGCCUCUGGCUUCUUUUUUUAAAACGGCUCCUCCUACUAUACCAUUCGGUAGGGCUCUUUUAUAGGAGUCUAAGCCAGAGAAGAGUUCUACAAAAUAGGCCUAAGUGUCUAAUUCGGUUUUUUCUCAUGGCCUUAUGGGUUUGGGCCUUGUUUAGCUCUGAAUUUUUUUUAUAAAAUGGACACUGUAACACUUUCGUUUGUAUUUGAUAAAUACUGUCCAAUCAUGGUCUAAUUAGGCUCAAAAGAUUCAUCUCGCAAAUUACAGAUAAACUUUACAAUUAGUUAUUAUUUUUAUCUAUAUUUAAUGCUUCAUGCAUGCACCGCAAGAUUUGAUGUGAUGAGGAAUCUAAAAUUUUUUGCAAAACUUUUUGGAAACUCGGUAAGAGGACGGAGUGACCAAUAGAAUGACAAAACACACAGAGAAAGAGAGAAUAAGCCUCGAGGGACCGUGCAACACUGUAUAAAACAUACUACAAUGGUUGGAAUUGCUUCCCAUCGCCUCUGCAAAAUAGUGAUUUUUGUUGAUUUAAUUUGUUGAAGGGUAAUAUGGUCAUUGCGCAUGUCCUUUCUCUCCCUCGCCUCGUCACUCAGCUCGUUGUCGCCCUCGACAGAUUGUUGCCGCAGCCCUACUUUCUCCCUCCCUCUAGCCGUCGUCGCCGCCGCCGUUGCACAGCGUCGGGCCGGAGAUUUCGGCCGAAGGCGGACCGGUGACCAGCCCCGCACGGUGCCCUCCCAUCGGCGGUGCUGGCUUCCUGCACCACGCAUUGGUGGACGCCGGUAGGUGGAACCCUAAGAACAUUUUAAAAAAAAUAAACUUAAGAAAAAGAUUUUCAUCUAACGGACUUUAGUACUUGAAUCAUACACCCAAAUUAUGCUACUCAAAAUAUUAUUUUUAUAAUUAUGAAUUUACCCAUGUACCCUUCAUUAAAAAAAGAACUACGAAAAAAGAAAUUAUCACUCCUCUAUUUAGGUCCUAAUCUCUAUAAUUUUUAUAGGUGAUUGGAGGCGAUGUGACGUCUAUAGCCCACCGACCAUAGACACACUUGUCGUCUCCUAUCGCCUUACUUCAAUCGCCUCUCAUCGCUUUUUAUGUUCUAGGUCCACCAACCAUAGACACAGUAAUCACUUCUCAUCGUCUCUCCAACCAUUAUAAAAAUAUCCAAAACAUAUUUGUUGGCUCCUAAAAAUGCAAUGGGUUUUAUGUCCCCUGUUUCAUCAGCUGCAUACCCUACAUCUAGGCCUUGUUUGGUUCCCAAGAAAUUUUGUAAAUUUUUUUAGAUUCCUCUUCACAUUGAAUUUUGCAGCACAUGUAUAAAAUAUUAAAUAUAGACUAAAAAAUAACUAACUGCACAGUUUAUCUAUAAUUUAUGAGAUAAAUCUUUUGAGCCUAGUUAGUUCAUAAUUGGACAAUAUUUGUCAAAUACAAACGGAAGUGCUAUAGUGUCCAUUUUGUAAAAUUUUUUGUAACUAAACAAGGCCCUAGUUCGCGAUUUUUUUAUGUCACACUGAAUGUGUAAGAAGGAUGUCGGGAGGUAUUUUCGGAUACUAAUUAAAAAACAAAUUACAUAGCUCGUAUGGAAACAGCAAGAUGAAUUUAUUAAGCCUAAUUAAUCUGUCAUAGUACAUAAAAUUAGUUAUUUCUUUUAUCUAUAUUUAAUGAGAUUCGAUGCGACAUAAAAUCUUGAUUUUUUUAAAAAAACCAGCCUUAAUUAGCAGAAAAAAAUUACAUACAUACCGUCCACACCAGCAACAAUACAAACCCCAUCGCAUACUGAUGGUCCGCACGCAAUUUGUUUCCACUGCCCAGGGGCCUAGGGUGGGUCAUGGCCUCAUGGUCAUGGGUGUGUCACCUGGGUGUGGCCGUGCGACCGUGUGCGUCUCUUGCCACCCAUGGUCCACGUGGCUGCAUAAUACCUGCACAAAGUCAAUGCCCAGAGUAGUUUGUCAUGUCGUCUUGUCCCAUCACAUGCACGUCGACGUCACUACCGGUCGGGCACUCUUUUUUCUUUGAAAAAGAAAAAGAAAAAGCAAAACAAAAUAGUUGUCGUCUGAUCUGGCUUCUCCCUCAAGUCAUCCCGUUGACGCAGGCCGCCGCACCGCCGUGACAGACGCGUAUACAUACCGGAGGUACACGUACUUGUAGCAGUACGUCUUCAGGGCAAAUACGCGCAUACAUACCGUACGCUGUAUCUGUUUUUCUUCGUACUGCAAUGUACUCCGUACUGAUCUUGUGGAACCGAGAGAUCCUUAUAAGGACAUUCGGGGACAGACAAAACAUAAGGGUUUCUACGCCUUCGUGUGCGAGAAGUUUUUAAAUGUUACAUCGAAUGUUUCAUGUGGAAGAGAUAUUCAGAUACUAAUUUAAAAAAUUAAUUACAUAACUCGUAUGAAAACUGUGAGACAAAUUUAUUAAGCCUAAUUAAUCCAUUAACACAUAUGUGUUACUGUAGCAAUUAUGGCCAAUUAUGAAAUAAUUAGGCUUAAAAGAUUCGUCUUGCGAUUUCUAUACAAAAUAUGUAAUUAGUUAUUUUUUAUCUAUAUUUAAUGCUUAUAUGCAUGAUGAGACUGGGUGAAAGUUUUCGAGUAGGAACUAAACAGGGCCUUUAGGCCAUCUUCAGUGGAAGUUUCAUGACCUAGUUUCUAACGCAUCUAUAUUUUGGAAACUGUACAGAAGAGUUUCAUCUUCAUUAAACCCCCUCUACUCCUAUGAAACUCUUAUCAUCUCUCUUUAUUAGUACUGUGCCACAUCGGUAUAUUUAAUGCCCAUAAAACUCUAUUGAGGCCUUGUUUAGUUCACCCCGAAAUCCAAAAAGUUUUCAAGAUUAUCUGUCACAUCGAAUCUUGCGGCACAUGCAUGAAGCAUUAAAUAUAGACGAAAACAAAAACUAAUCACACAGUUUGACUGUAAAUCGCGAGACGAAUCUUUUGACACUAGUUAGUCUAUGAUUGGAUAAUAUUUACCACAAACAAACGAAAGUGCUACAGUAGCGAAAUCCAAAAAUUUUUCACAUCUAAACAAGGCUUGAAACUCCAUUGAGACUGGUGUUAUAUAAGAUUUGAUUGGUUGUGUUUCUUUGCCAGCCUAGCUAGUAAAAUAAUUAAGCCUAGGAGUAAUUAACCUAAGCCAGUGCAUGCAUGGUAAUGUAAUUAAGAUGUUUUGUCUUUAUUACAUGUACUACCUAAGAUUUGGCUAACAAAAAUCUUAUUUGCGGUUUCAUAGAUGGUUUUGGUAGAAUCACCUUAUCUUUUGUGAGGGUAAUUUUUAGCUUCAUCAGCUCCCACAACUUUCCCUUGCGCUCACCUCCUCUUCUACUCCCCUUUACCUCUUUGGGUGAUGGAGCAGACAGUGCGAAGGCCUCAUGUUGGCUCCGAUGAUGAGCUCGCUACGUUUAUAGUAGGGCCAGCUAUGGCAUGUUCAUGUACUACCUCCGUCCUCAAAAGGAUACAUCACGCAUCAAUUAUUAUUAAGUAAAUUGUUUAAAGUUUGAUCGAACUUAUAGAAGGAUAACAAAGACAUCCACACUUGGCUUAGCAAAAAUAGUUUUACUAUUAAAAUAUGGGUAUUUCAAUUUGAUCAAACUUUUUCAUCAAAAAAAUUUGAUCAAUUCUAUAAUGAUUUAAUUAACUUGGGACUAAAGCAUGUUCGCUUGUCUGAAAAUCUAUGGCUAAAAAUAUUGUUCGCUGAUUUAUUAUGAGAGAAAAACACUGAUAAACUCAAGCGAAUAGGACCAGGUGGAGUACCAAUGAUUGAAGCCAUUUUAAGCCUGCCUAUGCAAGCUCCAACAGUGUGCACUGAUGCUCAUCACCACCAGCAGUUUCCUUUGCCCCUACUCAACCUCCGACGUCGACGUCGAUCAGUCGAUGCAUGGACGUCUCCACUUUUGUUGGAUCUUGCUAACAGCAGAGUCCUAUACUCCUAUGUUAGUUAAUUACUCUCUCUGAUCAUUAUUCCCAACAAAGGUCGUCGUUUUAAGGUCGUCAUAAAUCAAUGUGAAUAUUUUUACUUUGACGACGACCGGCGUCCAGUGAUAAUAUAUAUAGCUGAACAUUUAGAUAGGUUAUGCAUACUGUAGUAAAUAAGAUUAAUUCCAGUAGAUUAAUUGAUCAUGAAAAAUUGCAAAGUAAUUCUGAAGUAUAUAGUUAUAAAUACAAUAUAUUUCAUAGAAAAUUGCUAGUCAAAGUUUAAUGACGACCACUACAUUGUGAAUGCCUUCAGUGUCCUUACUUUAGGUAUAAAUAUAUAUUCGGGGGAUCGGAGCAUGCGAUUUGGUUAAGUUAUCUACAAGUGGAUCAGAGAGUUCAUAUAUAAAAUCCUGGGUGCUUUUCAAAUCAGUAGAAUAUCUUCACAUCGUCCGCGGCUUCUUGGAAAGUUCCGAGCGAUCAUCCCUGUACGUGCUCUGAAUCUCUGUAGCAGUUUUAUUGGGAAGACUGCACAGACUAUAAAGUAUAACGACGAAGUUGUUUAAGACUUCGCAUCCAAAUUGAGGACAAGAACGAAGAGGACUUGCGUGCUUUAGUUUACUAUACUACCGUUUGUUUGUUUAUCUGCUAAUUCUAAUGGACGUCACGUUCUUGUAUUCCUACGAUUUUGAGGGAUGCAUUUGGGGGAAAUGGUAAUUGACUAGUGCGUGGAGGAAUACCAUUUCUUUCCGAGAGAAGGGAUAGCCUCGUAGCGUUUUCAUUACCAAGGAAAGUAUUUUUUAGGGACAAUCAUAUUUAGUUUAUAGAGAAGAGGCACUUUUUUAUUCCAACCGUCUCUAACCAAGAUAUAUAUUUUGUAGCCAUCAACCAUUUCCGGAGAUGGUCGUCUAGCUAGGGACAAUGUAAGGAGUUGUUCGGUUAGGGCUGGUUCGGAGCAGGAAUCAAUCCCGGUGAACACUGCCUAUAUAAGUUACACAGGUAAUCCUGGCUAAAAUGAUUCCAAGGCAUGAAUCCCUGUCAAACGAACGGGGCCUAAUUGAGAAGAAAUCCACUAGUGAAAUGGGUCACAGGUUGCAUAGUCUAGCUAGAAGUAUUGUCGGUAAUGUAACCUGAAAGAAACCCACUAGUAAAGUGGGGUCACAAGUCAUCCGGUUUUUUUCCCAUGAAAAGCUCUUUCUAUAAUUAAACUAAUUUGCGGGAAGAUACUGGACUUUUCAAUUUGAAAAGAUUUUUUUUUUCAGACAAGCGCCUUUUCUACAAUUCAAAUCUAUGAUCUCUAGUGCGAGCUGCCUUACCACCACGCUAUAUAGUCACUUCUGACCGAGUAUAGGAUUAUACUCUUUUCUACGCACAAAUCUUAUAUUGAAUAUUUCAGUAAAGGAUUUUAAAUGAAAAAAGUUUCCCAUCACUUUGAGCAUUACAACUUUGCUAUUUGAUGUGUCUCGAUCUGAUGUCGCUUUGGUAUUUGGAAAUUUUGAAUUUAAAGUUACGAGAACAAAAUGUGUAUUUGGAUCCUGAACAAUUUCAAGUGAAAACUUGAUCAUCUAUAAGUUUUAUAUCUCGUAGAGAUUUACAAUUCUGACUAACUUAGACUUUUCCUAGUUUGAUUUAGAAAUUUUUAUAUGUUUCUUUGUGCGAUAUCUAUUCUUAUUACGUGUGGUGCACUACCAAGCACCUUUCUAAGAGUGGCUAGUGUAUCGGAUCGCCCCUAGAAGUGCCUUAUUUUUAGGAAUAGUCCAAGCACCAAUCGUCACUAAAACUCUAAAAGUAGCAUCUCUAUGGGUGAUGUGUAAUAUGCCCCUGACAAUAAAGGAUAUUUCUAUGGGUGGGCGGUAACACCAGCCACCGAAAUCGAUUUUGUGGGAAUGUUCAUCUCUAAACAACUUCUAAGGGCGGUGUUUGAUCUGGCCAUUCUUGAGAAAAAGAGAGGGUGGCGUCCGGCGACCACGCCGACGGGCGGUGUCAUUUGGUCGGAUCCAGGCCUCUGCGGGCAGGAUCUACCGUUCCUAUCGCCUGAUGCGGCAACUGCUCCCCGGCAGACCUCGCGCAGCUCUACACCGCCAUCAUGGUCGGGGAGGACCUGGGCCCCUUCGUGCGCCAGACCUUCACGUGCGGCCGCCCCGAGCCGGUGCUCGCCUCACUCCGUGGCGCGAACGAGGCUCCUCCUGGCGCUGCCUGGCGGCGGUCGAGCGGCCGUGCGGCCGAUGGCCAACUGGGCAAGAUGCCUUGGCGGGCAAGCGAGGCUAGGGCGGGGGCAGUCGGCCAGUGUGGCCAUACUUCGGGGCGGUCGUGGCGAGCCUGUGGCUGCACCCCUAUCUGCGGCGUAGCCAGGCUCCCUCCCACAAGGUCUGCAGUCCGGUGUGCAAGGGCGGUAUGGCGGUGCUUGUGGGAUUCAUGGUGGAGUGGCAAGUUACACAAGGUCAGGGCGAAAGCUCAGCCCGGCUCUGCCGGGUGACCGACGGUGAUGCCUUUGGCGCCACUCACCUCCAUGGAGGCGUCGUUUUCUGGACCUCGUGCCCUUCAUUAGCUUCAUUGGAUUCUGGGUGAAAGCCUCGUCUUAGAAGCAUCUAAGGCCAGCGACAAUGGCGUCUUGGGCGUCAACUCCUUCCUGAAGGCGCCGCUGAAGAAUCUCCCAUAGCUCGUCGCUCACUCCCUUGGAUGGUCGUUGUGGUCGCUGCUCUGGUCCUAAUUUUGUUUCAUGUUUCUCCUCACUUGGUUGGUCCAGCUUGUGUUGUUGUAGCCGUAGUCGUCACUUGGUGCUUGGGCGGAUGCUUUGUCGCUACUGUUGCUUGGGCAGUUGCUUUGCCACCAGUGUGAUGGUGGAGUUGCCGUCACCGCGUGCCAUGGUCUUCAUGUUGGUGCUCCUCGCCCGUGGUACUGGCCCUCAGUGACUCGGAGGAGUACUUAGAGGGUAACUUGGAUGUGCUCCUCGUCCGUGGUCCUAAGGGCAUUACGUCCUUAGUGACUCGGAGGAGUACUCCGAGGAUGACUCCGAGAUGUUGCGCAUGGGUUGGACCCCAUCCGCGGAUGCUUUGCCGCGUCGAUGGUGGCCUUGGUAUGGAGCUAUUCCUCGUCCGUGGUCCUGAGGGCCCUUAGUGACUCGGAGGAGUCGGUCGCACGGGGCGGUCAUGUUUUCCGGCGGAUGCUUUGCCGCCGAGGAGUUUUCGAUGGAUGCUUUGCCAUCGAGGUCGUCAUAUCUUCCGGCAGAUGCUUUGCUGUCGAGGUUGCUUGGACGGAUGCUUUGCCGUCUAGAGGUUUAUCACCUACGACUACACAUCAAUGCUAGCGACCAACGUGUUGAGCUAUUUUGUGUUAGAUUCAGUUGCUUGGGGUUGUCAUGUGGAGGGUCCUCCCACCUCAUGUUUCUUGCUUCGUUUGUGUUGUGGACUUCGAUGGUAAUCCAUGGAUUACUUAUGAAUCCGUUGUAUCGGUUACUUUGCCGUUCCAUCGGCUCUCCUGCUUAAUGAAAAACGCGUGAAGUCGCGAUCUCGAAAAAAAAGAGAGGGUGGAUGGUUCUUUAAAAUUGUGUUUGUUAGUGGGUCUAUUAUUGCUGUUAUUUGUUUUGGCCUUUUGUUUUGCUUCUUUCGUUCUAAUACCAUUUGUACAAGGCAAACUAUCCUUUCGAGAAAAGGGUUUGCAAUUUUUAGAGCCGGUAAGUGCAUAGAUGAUUCUCUCCUAGUAGGUCAUAGCUAUCUUUGUCAGAGUAGUACAAACAACAGAGCAAGAGAGAGAUCAGCGUGAGGGACAAGUUGAUUGAUCACACAUGAGACAAGAUCAUGUAUUUCUUUGGUAAAUUACCUAGGAGUUCAGGAGCCGGCCUGCAUGUGCAAUACUUUUUAACGAGUCUUCCUAGCUACUGUUCUACUACAUGAUUAUUGCUGCACACAAUCCUCUGUGAUUCUUCAAUUAAGUAGCUUUCACUGGAGAAUGAGGUAGCUUUCGAUCGAUCAUAUACUAACUACUACUCUGUGGGAUCGGAUUUGGAUCGGAUAGAUAAUGCUGUACUGAACUUCUAUACCAGAUUUCUUGGAUGCUUUUGGCGACAUUUUCCAUCGGUAGUUUGCCAUGUACUUUGGUCCGAAAUUCACCUGUGGAAUAUGCUGAAUGUGCCGACUGAGUCACCAGGCAUGAUCCAGUGCAAAUAGGUAGGAGACAAUCUGAAACGCUUGAUGAAGCUGGCCACAGGAUGUUUGGAGGCUAGCCAGUCUUGGGAUAUAUAUAUAGUGUUGAGCGUGACCUAUAUAUCAUAUCCUUUUCAAAGUACAACCAACGCCAACCAACCAAGAUAGACUACAUCAACGUGAGCAACAAGCUCACCAAUAUUUGUUGCAUUUGCUUAGUUACUUGGUAGCUAAGUUGGUUCUUUCACAAUUUUAUUAUAUAUAUAAUAGUACUUCAUAAAUAGUUGUUGUAAGGCCUUGUUUAGUUCGAGAAAAGAAAAGUUUUUGGGUAUUAUAGCACAUUUGUAACUAUAACAGUUAGUGUUCAAUCAUGGACUAAAUAGACUUAAAAGAUUCAUCUCGUAAAAUAUAUGCAAACUGUGUAAUUAGUUAUUUUUUAAUCUAUAUUUAAUGCUCCAUACAUAUAUCCAAACAUUCGGUGGGAUGUGGUGAAAAGUUUUCCUAAGUAGCUUUUGCCGAGAUCUCCUUUUUGGAGCUGUGAGGCACAUACAUAUGUGUAGAGUACAAGUUGGGUAAUGCAUCGAGGUAUCCGAGGUUGUAGUAAUUUACAGCUAUGUGCUAAUGCGCGGUCCCGACUGAUGCAGAUGUUGUGAUAAAUUUUCAUUUUUGUAUCUACAAAGAGCAAUCUGAAAACAACCGGCAACUUUAUUUAGUCAAAAAAUAUGUCAUAGCUAGAGAUUCACAGUUUGAGAAAGAUUUUAUAUGACACUGUCAUUUGGAAGGAUCAAAACAAUAGUUAAGAGCUCCCCAUGCAUGUCCCUUUCUCUUGAAAAUGAAAGGAAAGGAAAGCAACUCUGACGAUGUUAACAGGCCCGGUGGAUUUUAGUUAAGAGAGAAGAGUGUGACGGUGAUACAUAGAUACACACAAGCAGAAGCUGCUGCCUUGACAGCUUCUCUCUACGACCAGACGACUUGCAUGCAUUGCCCUCUCCGGUUCAGUUGCUUGUCCUUGUGGAAGAGAUGUUGGUGAUGUGGAUGUGUGAUGGACCGGGUUGUAUGUAUUCUGCAGGUUAUAUAUUAGCUACAUAAACCAAAUUAAACCACCACCAAACUCAUCGGUGAUGUAGAGAUGAGGAACCAAAAGCAAAGCAAACGCCGCUUUCGUACGGAGGAGAUGUAAGGGCCGUACGUACGUUGAAACACAUGAACCGUGUGGGCCUGUCAAAUUUCAGAUUUUUUUUUAAUAAACGAAUUACUGGGAGUAGAUUCUUGGUUAAACAAAUUAUGAGGAGCUUUGUAGCUUUCUCCUAGCGUAGCCUGAAUCUGUGCUGAACAUUUCGUUUACAGAUCGGUAUGACAGUUUGGCAUUGAAAAAUCCAUCAGACAGACUGCACGCAGAGGAAUGAAAGAAGCAUCAAAAUAAAUAAAGGCAGUAAAAGCUUAAGAUAGUUUAUAUAUAUGUUCCUUCGUUCAUCCGAAAGGGAUCCAGUUACCAAGAAAGUUGUCCAUGUAACAUGCUGCAGGUAACUACUAAUCUCUCUGUCUCUGAAUGUCAAUGUUAGUCUGAAUAUGAAGGAGGUAUUUAAUUUAUCAGUUAAUCUGAAUCUGAAGGAAAUAAAAGCAUAGCAGUGACCAAUGAGUUGUACGGUGUGUAUACAACAACAAUGAUGGUAAAGCUAAAGCAUGCACUGCAGCAGGUGAUCUCUGAUCAUUGGCAAAUGGUGGAUCAUGGUACUAAGUGCUAUAGUUUUCUACCUGAUCUAUCUUUUCCACCCACGUGUCUACCAAAAAUUUAAAGGCAGGGACAGCUGGAUGGAUGCAUCUGCACUCUGCAGCAGGCCAUCAGGACUGAUUGUUAAUGAAAUGAUUAUAGCUACGGUGAUUAAGAGAGAGAUGGAGUGGCGAAUGUGAGUGGUGUGUGAUGGGCAAACAAAGAAUCCUGUGGCUGGAUGCUGUCUCUGCCUGUACGGCUGUACCUCACCUUCUUCCUGCGACCUUCCACCUUACACAUUACUUAACUGACACCAUGAUGGCCAGUAAUGUCAUUUAGGUGUCUGUAUACUGUGUUCUAUGGCCCUCUUAUAUUUUGCAGCUUAAUUUUGUUUUAGGGAACUUUACCUGAGCAGGUUUUAUUUUUCAUACUUUGUGGAAUAGUCAUAUUAAUUUUUUAGGGGAAGAAAAUUAACGCAAAUUCAAAAAAAUCUCGAAAAUAGUUUUAUGAGACGAGAACACCAGCAGCAGCACUGAACAAUGACCAUCCCACCAACAAAAAAGAACACAAAAUACAACUCAUUACACGAACGUAGGCUUGUGUACCAUCUCUAUUUUGGCUUCGUUACUUCUUAGACCAAGUCUCCCCAAAGUCAAUAAACGUAUUUCUGCGAUCCUAACCAACAUGCCUCAAUCCAUACAACUCAGGCUAGCCAAUUGCACGACAAUUGUUGGGUAAAAAAGUUGCAUGUCCAGUGCCCAACUCAUUUCCAUUAUUUUGUCGAUCCAAAGUAACAAAGUGGUAAGACGUUGAUAUGCAUUAUCGACACAGUAAACCAAUCAUACAUAUCAUUCUUUGUUUUCAUGUCUAUUCUUCAUUUUGUCAUCUAAGUGAAUGAUAUAUUUGCUCCUUCCUUCAUCCUACAAAUGCACACACUGAUGUGACUUUGUUCACUCAUGAACUGUUUAUCUCCAAUCAACCUUUCAUUGAAACAACCCACUUUCUCACGCUUGCGAGCAUGGCUUGCUAAAAUUUGGUGCCCUCCAAUGUCUCAAGAUAUAUCACUAAGCUUGCAUACAAUAGAUCUUCAAGAAGAUGCAUAGCUACUGAACUACUACAAACAGUUUGCCUACUAGUAUUC